rnacentral:lncRNA from 1 species
UUGCAACUUGUUGAUAUGAGUAUUCUAUUAAUCCUAUUAAGCCCUAGGCCGGGAUGUUACACCCUCACCCCCUUAAGAGAGAUCGACGCCCCGUCGAUCAACCCUAGGCCAGGAACGUCCUCUCUUGGCCACGUCCAUAUGUCCAGUGCCAGCGCAUGUGCCAUGCUGUGUAACCACUCCCGGUCUACACCAGCCAUGCGCACCAUGCCUGCGCAACUGCGACACACGCGCCCGUGAAACCGCGAGAGUUGGCUCUGAUACCAUUUUGUAACGUCCCGCCUUCCCCCAGGCCGGGCCCGCUUACAUCUGAUAGCUUUCAUAGGUCAUAAACUGCCCUCACAGACCAACACAUAUCUUUUCUGCACACUUUGUCCUCACUCGUGUGCACCCGGAAAGAAUUUCCCGGUCGGUCACCCAUCCCAAAUUGCUCUAGUGAGGCCAAGCACGCAUAACCCUGGAGUUCUUUUGAGAUUGGCUUCCGGAAAAGAAGUUGCAACUUGUUGAUAUGAGUAUUCUAUUAAUCCUAUUAAGCCCUAGGCCGGGAUGUUACAUCAGUUGAUCAAACAAAUCAUCGAUUCGCGGCAAAGGAUAUUUGUUCUUGAUUGUGACCUCGUUGAGUGCGCGGUAAUCAACGCACAUCCUCUUCGUCUUAUCCUUUUUCUCCACAAAAAUGACCGGAGCACCCCAAGGUGAAGUACUUGGUCGAAUGUACCCUUUCUGCAGCUGCUUAUCAACCUGCUUCUUGACCUCUGCUAGUUCGUUGGCCGCCAUCCUGUACGGUCUCUUAUAGAUUGGAGCAGUUCCCGGUGCCAAGUCAAUCCGGAAUUCAAUCUCUCUCUUGGGUGGCAUGGUAGUGAGGUCUUCGGGGAACACUUCUGGAUACUCGCAGACUAUGGGUAUAUCUUCCAAUUUUCUCGAGUUCUUCUCUACGGUGUCCACUGGGAUUUCCGCUUCAAUCUGAUUCAAAGAGACCCCUUUCUUUGGCGAGACUAGAGAUUUGUACACCACGGUUUCUCCCUUCUCGUUGGUCAAGGUGACUGUGCGAUUUGCACAAUCGAUGACCCCCUUAAACUUGGUCAGCCAAUCCAUCCCAAGAAUGACAUCUAGGUCUUUGGAUUCGAGAAGAAUGAGGUUGGCUAGAAAUGGUGAUCUUUGAAUUUCUAUUGUUAUAGAAGGGCUGAAUUGAACCGAAGUGGAGCUAUUCCCUGGGGUAUGAACCCGCAUUGGUGUGCUAAGUUCCUCUCUUAUUAACCCAUGCAUCCCGACAAAUUUCUUUGAAAUGAAAGAAUGCGUUGCACCAGAAUCAAAAAGUACUGUUGCAGGGAUUGAGUUAACAGGAAACGUACCCAGUACGACCUCUGGUGCUGCUUGUGCCUCCUCCGCAGAUGCGUGGUUGACACGAGCCUGGAUAAACCUUGGCCCGGCACGCCUAGGCUUCGGGCAUUUGUCAGCGAAGUGGCCAAGCUUGCCACAGUUGAAGCAGGACCCUGGUUUUGCUCCAGUCUCCUUCUUGGCUUGCGCGGGCUGGCCUGACUGUGCCGGUGCCAUUGGUGGGCGUGAAGCUGCACCGCGGUUGGACUGACCUCCAUGGUGGUUCUGACUGCCACUGGCGCCCUGGGGAAAGUUGCUAGGGUUGAACGGGCGGUGCUGACGAACGAUCAUGGUGGUAGGUCCACCCUGCUGCCCAGGAGCGAAGCGCGGCCUCUGGUGACUUCCCUGAGGUGCCCUGAACUGUGCGGCCUUCCUCUUCCUGUCCAUCUUGUUGCGUUGAUCCUCCUGGCGGAUUGCCUUGUCAACCAGCCUCUCAAAGUCAGCGUAGUCCCCGGAUAUCAGUUGGUUGGUCAGCUCAUCAUCCAGACCCGCCAUGAACUUCUCCUGCUUCUCGGCGUCGGUGCGGACAUCCUCUGGUGCAUAUCGCGCGAGGCGAUUGAACUCGUGGAGGUACUGUGUCACAGUCCUGUUGCCCUGAUGGAGUGCCCGGAAUUCCCUCUUCUUUUGUGCCACGACCCCGUCUGGCACCUGCGCCUUCCUUAAGCUACGGCAGAACUCUGCCCAUGUGACUUCAGUACCUGGUGGGCGGGUGGCCAUGUGAUUGUCCCACCAAGCUGACGCGGGACCCUGAAGCUGGUGUGUGGCGAAAGCGACUUUCUCCUGAUCAUUGCACUGCAGGAGAUUCAGCUUCUUCUCUAUGGCAUGGAGCCAGUCAUUCGCCUCCAUGGGGUUGGUGGUGCUGGAGAAGGUGGGUGGCCUGACGCGUAGAAACUCUGGCAACUUGGACUGAGGGGGAGGGGGACCAAACUGCUGGUGCUGCUGUUCGACGUGCUGCAUCAUCCUCUGGUGCAUCUGCUGGUGCUGCUGCUGCAUCUGCUGUAUCAUGGCUGCCAUCAUCUGAGUCUGAUGUGCCAUAACUUGGGCAAGGGUCGGAUUCUCGGGAAGUGGUGGCGGACCAUUGCCGGAAUCUGUCACGACCGGAACUGACCCAACGGGCGUUCCUUACGUGCGUGCAUUAAUCCUUGUCCCAGGGGCAAGGUACACCAAAAGUUGAUACAAUUCAGAGUUUAACAAGCGGAAGCGUAAAUAGUUAAUUUAUUACAUGGGCAGCGAAGGCCCAGCACACACAAAGACAAACGAGAAACAGCGGAAGACUAGGGCGACGACCACAGGCACUUGACGGCAGGCACGAGCUAGACACCAAAGCCUUCAUCUUCAAGGGGCUCCUCUUCUGGGUUUGGGAAAAAUUGAGCAAGACUGAGUACAACCACCGUACUCAACAAGACACACCCACAAGUGCAGAAUAAAUGCAAGGGAGUACAAAGGAGUUAUAAUAUAAAGGGUUAGGGUUGCAGUAAACAGCAUUUAAAGAUAUUUAGUUGCUCAGGGCUAUUUUGUAAACACGAUUCUAGAACUAAACAAUAUUAUUUAUCAAGGCCAUGAACCCACACGAACCUGCCUUAACCCAAGGCCUACGAUGAUUCAGACCGAACUGGCAACCCGACCCUGGGUCCCAGCUCGUCCCAAGCCAACCCAGGCCAACCAUUCCAUAUUUUAGUUGUUAAGCAGGUUUUAAGAAUUAAAACACUUACUUGGGUACAUUGCUCGGCUUGCCCAUAACCGAGGGCGCGGCUAUUCGAAUAGGUUAUACUCUGAUCAGAGGUGUACAUCUUUACCCACAAGACACAUCUUCCUCACGUGCAACCACGUGCCACAUACCACCACGGUAUACAGACGGAAGACGUGACAUAGUUUCCAACCCAUCCUAGCCAUAGACAAGAGUACCGACCCAAUCCCACCUACGGCCGGGACACCCGGGACAGGCAGGCAGGACUGAGCCCCUAGCAGCAGGACACCGGCCCUGUGCCAUGACAUCUCGACUACCGGGCCGCAGCUCGUGUAGCCUUCAUUUGCCCUGGAGAUGUCCAUCGACCCCCGACUUCGUCCAUCUCCAUCCGUGUACUUUUGUUUAUAACCAGACUGAGCCACAAACUAAGCCUUACCCACUAGACAUGUGGAAGUACGGUAGUGCUUUGCAACAGAGGCCCGAAGACCGGUCCUUAUAUGGCCGAGGUGCUACUAUCAAAACCAUGCACCCCGAGCCCAGCCUAAAACCAUUUUGGGGAUUUUGAAUAGAGGGGGAGGUGUGAAUCCAAUUCCACAAUAAUCCAACAAUUCCAGUGUGUCCAGGUGAUGAGAACAUCCCAAAGUCUAGAGUUGUAAAACCACCUAAUGUUACCUAAUUAAAAGCGAAGCAUCUACCUAAAAUCAUACUAGUGAUCCCGUGAGUAGAGUGUCCACUAGUUGGGGUUUUGUUUAUUCUAGGGUGAACAAGGAAAUAAUAACAAUAGCAAUAAUAAUAAGGUCAUAACAAAGAUAAAUAGGCAUGGCUAAAUAAAACAGUGAUAACGCGGGAAUUUAAAUAAAGCGAUAAUGCAAUAAUUUGAAACAACAUAAUUUUACAAACUGGGAUUCAAUAUGUUCAAAGAUGAUGUGACUUGCCUUGCUCGCUUUCCCAAACGUCGGCUUCAACUUCCACGAAGAGCGGAUCUUCCGAAGCUGCAGCGUCUACACGACCAACGGAAACGAAACGGCUUUUACUCUACUAAACUCCAUAUAACAAGCAGAAACAAAGCACAAAAAUGGGUUCUUGACUUCUUAAGGAAAAAUUAGAGACUUGAACGGUCCAAUUCCGAGUUCAAAUGGCCAAGUUAUGGCCAUUUGAAGUUUAUAUGCUCUUUAAAUGGAUAUUUGCGAAUUUCUUCAUUUAAAUUUUAAUUUAAAAUCGGGUUUAUUGCAUCAGCCGAGGGGAGGGGCGCGCGGACCGGGUCCACGGGGGUGGGGCCCACGUGGCAGCCCCACGGCCCACGGUGGACCGGGCGCACCCAGGCUCGCACCGGCCGGCGCCGUGGGUCCCUCUGAAAAUUCCACUAAAAAUCCUGUUAAUGAAUUUCGACAUGUAGAACUCAAGAAAAAAUUCCACAUGUCAAAUCCGAUUAUUAUUUGCAUUACUUUCUUAGGGUUUUCUCCUGAUUUGCACCGGUAUUUUCUUAGGGUCAUUUAUAAAUUACAAUUUUGGCUUGGGAGGAAAACUUCGGGGUGUGACAAACUGGCCCAAAACUAGGUCAAUGUGCUUCUCGUUGAUUCCUCGGUCUAGCUAGUAGUGUAGUGUUUGGGCCCAUUUGAUAAUAUUUUAAUGGGUUUAGAGGCCCAUACACGCAUAAGUCUACCUCUUGAUGAAUUUCCAUUUGUGUAGCAAUAUCUGCAAACAAGUAAAGUCCAAGUAAAAGUGGAGAUAGAUUAUUCUAUAACAAACAUGCAUUGCAAGCAUAGCUAGUUCUCCUUUAUUUCGGUUAUAUAGACGGUCGCAAUUGGUUUAUAACAACCAUCAACACACAGCUGCAAGAACACAUGACCACGAGAUCCCUCCUCGUAAUCAGGAAGUCAUCGAUGAUCCUCCCCGCUGCGCAAAACAAAAACGGCGAGAAUGCCUCACCACAACGUCUUGCCCAACAUGUCGCCCCGAUGAGUUGCCCACGAUCUUCGCGAGCAUCUGAACAGCCGAAGGCAUAAUUGACAAGACCAACGGAACAAUGGCCAUCGACAACAUCGCGAUCGGAAUCGCCAAGGCAAUCGUCUACACGAGAACCAAAACCAAGACCAAAUUCGAAAUCUUUAAGAUCAACAGCGUUAGCAGGACAAGAACGGAGGAGGUCAGCGCAAUCAUCAUGAAGACAGUCGGCGAAGCGGUUCACGAUCUCCAGCUCCAAGGCGAGAUCAAGUCCAUGACAUACGAUAUUGAGAUCGCACACCUAACGAUAGCGAUCCAUCUUCAUCGUCUAGGGGAGGUUCGUGACGACCUCGCGGUCACCGACCCCCACUCAUACCCAGCGGCGGAUGCAGGAUAUUUAGACCCGCUCUUCGAGAAGUCAACAGGCCCUCAAAAUUCCAUCCCGUACCAUUGGACAAAUACGGAGGAAGCACUGAUCCUGAGGAAUUUCUAUGCGUCUACUCUACUGUCCUAUACACCGCCAGCGCAGACGACAAUGCAUUGACGAAUUAUUUGCCGAUAGCGUUAAAGGGAUCUGCUCGGUCAUGGCUCAUUCAUCUUGCUCCAUCAUCAAUCUCAUCCUGGGCAGAUCUUUGGCAACAAUUCGUCAUGAAUUUCUAAGGCACAUACAAACGACACGCAGUCGAGGACGAUCUACACACUCUCAGACAAAACCUAGCGAACCUCUUUGGGACUUCAUCUGGCAUUUCAACGAAUGAUGUAAUACAAUCCCGGAAAUCACCAAUGCAAGCAUUUAAGUUGAGCGUCUGAGAUCGCUAUACGAUCCAAGAGAUAGCUACAAGAUGGAUCACCUUCGCCAUAGAUUGUGUUAAAUUUCUACUGGAUGAUGAAAACUCAAGCAGUUAGACUUAAUUCUUUCUUCUUUUCUACUCAGGCUGAACAAAGGAGAAAUAAAGCUCGAUUAUUGCUGGCUUGUUGCUGGGAAAAUUGUUACGGAGAGAUUUUUCAAAACGAACACAUCAAAUCCACUCUAAUAUGUCCAAAACUCAUGGUAUAGUGUUUUUUGAACUAUUUCAUUCCGGUGAAAAACAUCUCACUCGCGUGAGUCAAAUCUGUAAUAAAUACACAAGUACUCCGAUAACUUACAGUGGCUAUCAAAGAUUCCUUUUGAAUUGGUCAUACAGAACUUUAAUAUUCUAUGUUUCAAAUGACAAUGCAUUUGUACUGAAUGUUGAUGGCUGAAAAUUUGCUUAAAUUGAUGAAUUGGAGUAUAUAGUAGUAAAUAACCAAGUUCAUUUGCAUAACCUGUUGAGGAAGUUCUGUUUAAUAAUCCAUACUCAAUAUUGGAUUGCAUUUUAGUUUUAUAUAUCUUUUUUGGGCUUGGAACACAAUUUUGCUAAUGGUAUCAAUAUGUUUUCUAUGACGGUUGUCCGUCGGACUCCAUUCACAGGAAUAAACCAACAGAAAUGUUUUUUCUGUAUGGAAACCAACAAGAAAAUUGAAUUUUUUCCGUGGCGAUUUUUUCAGCUAUUACCGAUCGUCCACCCAAAGGAAAAAAAUUCUAAUGGUAAAAGCAGUUUUUCCGAUGGUUUCGCUCCUACUAGAUGGUGUUGACGAUCAUUAGCGAUCAGUUUCGCCCGUCAAUACUACCAAAAUAAAGGAGAACUAGUUAUGCUUGCAAUGCAUAUUUGUGUUAGAAUAAUAAAUAUUCCACUAGCACUAGGAUUACUAACCUUUUGCAGGCAAUAAACAUAAAAUGGAGGAGAAUCAACAUCAAAACAGACGAUCAAUCAAUUGGACGAUGUCGAGAAUCAGACUUGUGGAAAGAUGGGCCAAGAACUCAGAAAUGACACGAUCAAUUGGGCCAAAAUUCACAAAUCUGGAGUGAGCAAUAGGAGAGGAGGCCGCCUGCCAGGAACUGGGCCGGUUGGGCCAACCCAAGGUUUAGCUGAACCAGCCGCAGCGCCGAUGGAUGCAGCGUUUGGCUGGACGGGUGGGAUUGAUUCCCAAUGACGGUUGGUGGGUAUUACUGACCUUUCCAACCGUCAUUACUAGCCUAUAUAAACCCCUCACUCUCUCCAUUUCAAGACACACAUCAAGCAAGAAGCUUCAUACAUCUCUCAAGUUUAGUAUAGUCUCUAGAGUAUAGUGGAAUAGAAAUAUAAUAGAAUCUUCAGUCCUCGGAGUCUUUGGAAGAAUUCGGGUAUGGCUCUAGUAGCUUUUCCUUCUUUUGUAAGACUUGUACUUUUAUUAGAUUAUUUUUCUUUAUACUACUUUGGUAUUGUAUUAUUUUCCGAGUAUAUGAAUACCAGCUUUACUAUAUGUUCGAAUUAUAUUUAUUAUGAUGCUAGCUUACCUGGGAGAUGCAAUGGUGUGGGUAUAAUGAUCGUAUUUACGAUGACUCUAUGUCAUGACGAUGAUAUUAGAGUAGUAUUUGGUAGUUUAAGCGUGGUGUUUAGAUUACUGGAUAUCAUUAUUUGGGGUUGUAUUUGGGGUUGUAUGCUGCGGAAGCGAGGUGGGCCGCUGAUAGUGACAGCUCAGGGUAUUCCUCCGCGCGUGUAUAUAGUCCUAAGUUAAUUUCUUAGGGAGGGUACUCCUCCGUAUUUAGCCCAGGUUGGAUGGUCAUGACGGAUUGUCGUAAGAAACUCGGCAAUCAGGGGUGGCUUCUCGAAGCACCAGGAGGGUAUCGGAAAUAGGAUAUUAGCUAAGUAAUGAUAUAACUAGGAUGUGGGUAUAAUAUAUAUGUAUACUAGAGAUAUAGGAAUAGAUCUUUCUAUAUUAUUUCCACUUAGAUUAGAUAAUUAUGAAUGAGUAUAAAUGCUUCUGCUUAGUGUCACUCUACCCUCUGAACUAUAUUAACCCUGCUUGGACUUUUGUUAUUACAAGUAAUAUAUAAAUUGUAUGAUUCUCUCUAUUAUAAUCUUUCCACGGAAUUAAACAAAUACGAUAACCUUGGAAUACUCUCGGGUGAAAUGCUACAAUGUUAUAUCCGUGCGCUUGCGGAUGAACUCUGUAACCAUAAUAUAUCAGAAGUGUUUCUGCGCUAUUGCUGAGAAUUAUAUUUGUAAUAAUAUCGUUUAGAAAUACCAACAGAUGGGACGAUGAUUUGGCUAGAUAUUCGUCAAGAUGUUACAUUAUAUAGUACAGCUUUUAAGUUGUUGCACUAGCACAAAAUUAAGUACUCCCUCCAUUCUAUAAUAUAAGGCAUAAAUAGUUUUUAAAGUUGUUUCAUAAUAUAAGGCAUAGAUACAUGCAUGCCAUUAACUAACACAUCUUCUUCACCAAAAUAUUAUUAUUCAAAUUCUUCACCAUCAAAAUCUCUAAUUUUAUUGGAUGCAUGUAUUACAUUUAUUAGAUUAAUCCAAAUUAUGAGGUGAUAAUAAUUAUUUUUUGGUUUUUGGGUUAAGGGUGGUUGUGUCUUAUAUUUUGGAAUGGAGGGAGCAGUAUCACGUCGUUAAAGUUGUUGUAUAUUGCUAAAACAUGGGAGUAAUAAUUUAUUUGCGAACUUAAUAUCAUUAUCAUUGUUGUUGUUGACUCCUCUUUCAUGUAAAAAAAUAUAUAUACUCAAAUUAUUCAACUAGAUGGGGUGGUAGGUAAGGGAUCUCAGGAUGGGACCUGGCACCCAUAUCCACCAACCACUGUUGUCCCUGAGAUAAUAGACGCGUGCUUUGCAGAGUGAUCCAAAGCUAGCUAGUCCUACCAACAAUGGAGGUCGCCGCCAUGGAGAUCUCUACCUCAUUGCUCCUCACCACCGUGGCUCUCUCCGUCAUCGUGUGCUACGCCCUGGUCUUCUCCCGCGCCGGGAAGGCGCGUGCGCCGCUGCCGCUGCCGCCUGGCCCCAGGGGAUGGCCGGUGCUGGGCAACCUGCCGCAGCUGGGCGGGAAGACGCACCAGACGCUGCACGAGAUGACCAAGGUGUACGGCCCGCUGAUCCGGCUCCGGUUCGGGAGCUCCGACGUGGUGGUCGCCGGCUCGGCGCCGGUGGCGGCGCAGUUCCUCCGCACCCACGAUGCCAACUUCAGCAGCCGGCCACGCAACUCCGGCGGCGAGCACAUGGCGUACAACGGCCGGGACGUCGUGUUCGGGCCGUACGGGCCGCGGUGGCGCGCCAUGCGGAAGAUUUGCGCCGUCAACCUCUUCUCCGCGCGCGCGCUCGACGACCUGCGCGCUUUCCGGGAGCGGGAGGCCGUGCUGAUGGUUAGGUCGCUGGCGGAGGCGAGCGCCGCCCCUGGGUCGUCGUCUCCAGCGGCGGUGGUCCUGGGAAAGGAGGUGAAUGUCUGCACGACGAACGCGCUGUCGCGCGCCGCGGUCGGGCGCCGCGUGUUCGCCGCCGGCGCGGGCGAGGGCGCGAGGGAGUUCAAAGAGAUCGUGCUGGAGGUGAUGGAGGUGGGUGGUGUGCUGAACGUCGGCGACUUCGUGCCGGCGCUCCGGUGGCUGGACCCGCAGGGCGUGGUAGCGAGGAUGAAAAAGCUGCACCGCCGGUUCGACGACAUGAUGAACGCGAUCAUCGCGGAGAGGAGGGCCGGAUCACUACUCAAACCAACCGACAGUCGUGAGGAAGGUAAGGACUUGCUUGGCUUGCUCCUGGCUAUGGUGCAGGAGCAGGAGUGGCUCGCCGCCGGCGAGGACGACAGGAUCACCGACACGGAAAUCAAGGCCCUUAUCCUGGUUCGUGAUUCAUGCUCUGAUUUAGUAGAUAGACACUCACUCGUUCAUUGCAUAUUAACUAAGUAGCUAUAAUUUUUUAAGAAAAAUAAUAAAAUAUAUUAGUAUAUAAUAUAUUACUUUACAAACAUAUAAAUUAAAUUAAAUUUGAUUUUUAUAAAUAACAUAUAGAUUAUAAGAUCCACGUUAAAUGAGUCUACAUCCACUCAAUUAUUAGAAUCUGUCCCCUGAACUUUUUUACUGUUGUCUGUCUACGUCAUGUCCAAAACACUAGUAAUGUUUGUUUCUCCUUUGUUGAGAAUCUGUUUUUCCCACGUCGAUGUGCUUUCUGUUCGGAAUUUGGUUUGGGAAUUUGGGGAUAUGCGUCGUUUUGCGCACCAGAAGACCAGAACACGUACUUGUCGUCAUCACCACUCAUUUGGGUAACAGAUUAUCAAGUAGACUGGUUGUCGGGCUUCCAAUAGUAAAAUCUAAUUCGAGAGCCCUCCUGUUUUAGCGCUAUCAUUCGACGCUGGCAGAGCCGUCUGAUCGCUCGCGUCAUUAUCGAGUCCAUCUGCGUAGGCCUCGCAGUCUACUGGUAAUUCUUACGAUCACAGAUAAAAUCCGCAAGCGCACGGGUAUACAGAUGUAGCACUUCCCCUACGGAGUAUUCCAAAGGGUAUCGAAUCCAAGGAAACAUGUGUGGUCAGUUCUUCCUCCGGUUCAUCCAAGAACACCAAGCAAAGGAUAGGGCGGGAUAGCGAGGAUUCACUGGUGAGAAAUAGUGUCUAGGAAAGUUUAAGUUUAAUCCUAACGUAAUACUUCAGGCACUGGUAACCCGCUAUUCCCAGAUGUUGCUCUACUACGUACCCGGACAGGGAAGACUUAAGUGAUCUCGAGGGCUGUCACCACCUCUACACCUACCUCAAACGUACUGUGGGAUACACAGUAAUUACUGGAUAACAAUUACCUAAACACCACGUCUAAGCAAUUAAUAUCUACUUUAGUAUUUAUAACUCACCAAAGCAAUCUCUAUAUUUCAGUUGAUUAUAGUGAACGAUAAUCCCGUAUGCUAUUUAGGAACUAACCAAGAGAUAAUUCUCACAAGAUAAAUCUAAAUUACUCAGGAAGAAUAUUAUAUUGAAAUCAGAGUAAUGAACAAAAUAAAAGAAAUGAGAGAAGAUUACCGACAACUCCAGAAUUCUUCCGACUUCUUCUACUCUACUCUCUUCCUAUUCUAGUAUACAAUAUAGUACAAUAGAGCCUCUUAUAAUUUAGCUCAAUCUUGGAAGUGUGUGUAAGAGUGAAGGAGUGAAACUCCUUAUAUAGAGGUAGGUAUGACUGUUACACGAUGCGAAUUGUCGGAAAUGCCCCGCAACCGCCAUCAGGAGAUGAUCAGGACCAUCCACGCCAAACCCCAGCCUGAACGGCUGAGAUUUUGGUUCGGCCGAACCAAGGGGUUCGGCCGAACGUGGGCUAGGCCCACCUGGCCUGGCCUUCGGCCCAUCUCCUCCGCUGGUCCUCCUUUAUCCAUUUCUCGGAGUUUUGAGCUGAGUCUUUGAUAUUUUGAUGAUCACAACCCAUCCUUGUAUGAAUACACGUUUCUCCUCACUUUAGUCUGAUUUUACUCCCAACUUCGGGGUUCAACACCUGCAUACAAAUGAACACCAACACUAGUGGAAUAUGUGAGAUUAAACACCUAUCGCUAUAUUGAAUGUGUUAUUAUCUGGACUUUAUGCAGAGGUUGGCGGUAUAGAAUCAGCAUUUAACAGCCGCCAACAUAGUCGUAGGCAUGGCUUUCUGGAUAAGGAUCGAGAUGAAACCACUCCAACCACACGUCACACGCAAAUCCUGCUUUAGAGAGUCACAGAGAGAGAGGUUACAGUUUCUCCCCCAUGUCCUUUUCCUCUUCAAACAAUGUUUUCUCUCAAAUUACCUAUCCGAUCAACAAUCCGAUUACACCAUUGUGUUCGUUACAAUUAAAUCAUCACAACAAGCUCUGACAUGAUUAUAUUACGAUGAAAAAAUAUUUAUAUUUAUAAAUUACUUUUAUUAUAUAUGUAAGUUACUUUUAUCAUACAUAUAAGUUGCUUUUAGAUUUGACUAAAUUACUUUUAUAUUUGACAUAUAAAAGUAAAUUUAAUAAAGUCUGAAAGUAGUUUACAUAUAUUAUAAAAUUAACUUAAAACAAAACGGAAGUAACUUUGUCACGACAUUAGAAGUAAAUUCGUUGUAGGGAUAAAAAUAUAACUUUAUCUAAAAUUAAAUUUAAUUAGCACAAAUCAACACACGUAAGUUUAACAAUUUUUAAAAGUAACUUCAAUGUUAAUUGGAAGUAACUUUUGCAUGGUUCAAGUUGAAAGGAGAUACUAGAUGGAGUACAAACUAGCUACCACUAGCUGUGUAGUCACGUCCAAUGAAAAAAUGCAUUAAUUAAAGUUACUUUCUUUUUGUUAUAGUUACUUCUAUAAUAUAUUUAAAUUACUUUUAGGCUUUAUUGAAUUUACUUUUAUAUGUCUAAGAAGUAAUUUAGUGAAAUCUAAAAAUAAUUUAGAUAUAUUAUAAAAGUAAUUUAUUAUUUUUCAUCAAAAUAUAAUCAUGUGAGAUCUUGUUAUAAAGAUUUAAUUGUUACAAACACAACGAUAUAAUCGGAUCGUAGAUCAGAUAACUAGUUUAAGAGAAAAUUGUAUUUGAAAUAUAGGUGGACAAUGUCUCUCAUAUAUGGAGUGGUAGCUGGUUUAGACAAAUCAGCUACCACUUGCUGUGUAGUCACGUUCCCAAUCGUAAAAUCCUCCUUUUCCGUGGGAAUAGGAUAAUGCACCACCUAAAUUAUUUUAAUGCUACCUUACUCUAAACUUCGGAUAUCCGCACGGUCUUCAAAGCAGUGACAAAUCUAGAAUUUUUAUUUUGGUGUGCCCACACAAUCCUCAAAAGCCAAAUCAGAGUCACUCAUAUACACAAAUACAGUAAAAGUUCUUUUUUUAAAGGAACACAACAAGGGAGGGCCCCAUUGCUAAAAGAUUAUUAUUAAAAAAGAAAGAAGGUUACAAAGCAAAUUACAACAAAAGGAUCCAAUCUCUGACUACAUGUUGAUCACUCACUUUCAACCUAAACAGCAAAAGGAGGAAGUCUCCUUUAAGAAGUUGCCUCCAAGAAAAAAACAAAGGUAAUCUGUUCUCAAAAAUGAAACCAUUCCUUUCUUUCCAAAUAUUCCAAGCCCCUAAAAGGAACUUUUCUAUAAAGCAUUGCCCAUUGUAAACAUGUUUAGCCUUCAUGAUCAUAUUGCUCAAACUGAGAGAACUAUCCCACAAGAUGCCUAAAUAAGUGCAACAAGUCACCGAGAAAGGGCACUUAAAGAAAAGAUGCAUUAAAGUGUCAGUACAUCUCUACCGACAAAGAACACAAAACAAAUCAUAAUCUGGUGGAGCACAGUGUUUGUGAUCCAGCAUAAAUUAGUGUUCAAUCUAUCCAUGAAAACAAGCCAGCUAAAUACUUUAACCUUGGAGAAAACCUUACUCUUCCAAAGCCACACAAAGUGCUGAGGGGGCUGCAAGUGCCUAAAAUUCAGAGCAUAAAACUUCUGGGAAGUAUAUUUCAAACCACCCCAAAUAUAGGACCAAAUAUAUGGCUAUCUCACUCUCCUGAGAAAGAUCAAUAGUGCUAAUAAAAUCUGAAAGAGCCUGAAACUCAGUAUAAGCUUGGUGAGACAAAGGCAGCUGAAAAUUGUCUGACAUUUGAGCUGACAGAUAGCCAUGCACAAAUGAUAUUUUGUUGGCAGCAAAUGAAUAAAGUCUAGGCAUUGAGAAACUGAGAGGGGGAUUAUCAGACCAAAUAUCCUCCCAAAAAGAACAUGUUAAACCAUUCCCCACAUUGCAUCUAGCAAUCCCUCUAUAGAAAUCCAUCAGCUUAUAAAUAUCUCUACACCAAAAAGACCCUUUAGAGAUGACAAAUGAGGGGCCACUUGAUCAUAAUAAGAGGACCAGAUAAGAUCAACCCAUGGCACAUUCCUUCUAUUAUAGAAUUUGUCCAAAAAUUUCACCAAAAGAGCUUGAUUCCGAAUAGAAAGGUUGAUAACACCAAGCCCCCCUUUUACUUUAGGUUUACAAACUUUGUCCCAAGCUGCUAAAUUUUCUGCUUGAAUUCACAUAUGAACAUCUCCAAAGACAAUGUUUCCUUGCACUAUCAAUAUUAUCAAUUACUGUCUUAGGCAACAUUAUAGUGCACAUGUAAUUGGUUGGCAAGGAGGAGAAAACUGAAUUAACUAGAGUAAGCCUAUUACCAUAUAACAAGAAAUCUGAGUUUGCAGACAAUCUCCUUUCAAUUCCUUCAACUAGAGGAGCAAAAUCAACCACUCUAGGCUUAGUUGUUCCCAAAGGCAGACCAAGAUAAGUAAAGGGGAGUGAACCAAUUUUGCAACCAGAAACCCUAGCAAGCAUCUCAUCUUUUCCAUCACUCAAGUUUUUAGGGAUUAAACAUGAUUUUUGAUAGUUAACCUUUAAUCUAGUACCUUGAGCAAAAGAUUGAAGCAGAACUUUUAGAGUAAAAAGCUCCUUCCCACAAUCCUUAACAUAUAAAAGAGUAUCAUCUGCAUAUUGGACCACUGGGAAGUUAUUGUCCUGACUAUAGGGCAAUGGCUUGGAUAACAAAUACAAAUGGUGUGCUAUGUUUAUUAAAGAUUGCAGAAGAUCAGCUCCCACAACAAACAACGGCGGUGAAAGGGGUCUUACACCCCCCCUCCCCCCCCCCCCGCCUACAAUGAAAAUUCUUUCUAGGAACUCCAUUCAGAAGAACUGAAGAGAAGCAGAAGAAAAGAUCUUCUGAAUCCAGUUUAACCAUUUUCUAAAAACCCCAUAGCUUUCAUCACCAACAAAAUAGCUUCAUGUUCAAUAGUAUCAAAGGCUUUCUCAAAGUCCAACUUUAAAAGAACGAUUUCCCUUCUUGAGUGGUGACAUUGAUGAAGAAACUCAAAAUUCCAAGCAAGGCAAUCCUGAAUAGUUCUCCCUUUUAUAAAACUAUAUUGAUUUGGAUGUAUUACUGAUAGGAUUACCAUCUGCAAUCUGCCAGCCAACAACUUCGUCAAAAUCUUCAGAGAAAUCCCCAUAAGAGAAAUAGGCCUAUAGUGAUUUAUAGUCUCAGGACACAAUUUUUUAGGCACCAAAGUGAUGAAAGAGUGAUUCAAAGGAUUCAAGUCUAGAGAGCCUCAAUGAAAAUCAGCGCAUAAUUUAUAAUAAUCUUGACAUAUAAUGGGCCAGCAUUUCUUAAUAAAAAGGCCAUUAAAACCAUCCGAAUCAGGAGCUCUAUCAAUAGGGAGAUUCUUAAUAAGCUUAUCAACCUCAUUCUUAGAAAAGGGGGCAUCCAGGAUUUCCAAACCGUCUUGUGAAGGGAUUAAAGAAGGGAGAUCAAAAGGCAUACAUUCAAAACAAGAAAUUCCCAUCCUCAUCUUAAAAGCAUUCCAAGCAGUAUGGGCUUUAGCCUCAUGAUCAGAGAGGGUUGACCCAUCCACAUCAACCAAAAUAGCUAUAGAAUUCUUCCUGUAUGAUUCAGUUGCCAUUGCAUGGAAAAAAUUUGUGUUUUCCCCUCCAAAUUUAGCCCAUCUAAUAGUACACCUUUUCUUCCAGUAUGUUUGCUUAUAUUUCUAAGUAUGUAAGCAACUUAGAUCUGACAAAAACUCUGAAAUUCCAUUCCAACACAGUGAGAUCUCUAUAUUCCUCAAUGAUAUCAAAAAAAAAAAGAUCACAACAUUACAUUUUGUGAUGAGUUUCUGAAGCUUACAUAGAUUCCUACUCCAUUUUAUAAGCCCCUUUCUUAAAGCUUUGAGUUUAGAUGAAAUAUUUCUAGCAGCAUCCAAAAAACUGCCAUGAUUAGCCCAAAUAGAUUGGACUAAAUCAAAAAACCUUUCAUGCUCAACCUAUAAAUUCUCAAACCUGAACACAUUUGAUCUAGGAAUAACAACUGCACAAUACAGGCGGUAUGAUCAGAAGUUGACCUAGCUAAAGGCUUGAAUAAAGUAUUAGGAAAAGAGGAAGACCAACUAGUAGAAGUGAAAAACCAGUCCAAUUGCUCAAGUUGAGGGUGAUUUUGCAUGUUACUCCAGGUAAAGGCCAUGCCCUUAAUAGGGACUUCCACUAAACCCAAAUUACUGAUGACCUCAUUAAAAAGAAAAAUAUCAUUCAUAUCCGCUCCUGGCUUAUUUCUAUUUAGAACUGAACGAUAGAAGUUAAAAUCACCAAGCAACAGCCAAAAAUCACCAACAGGAAUUUGGAGACUAUAAAGCCAAGCCAAAAAAAUUAGACCUUUCAACACCAGUACAGGGCUCAUAAAUAGUAACCAUUGUCCAAGAUAAACUAGAAUCAUUAGAAGUAAAAGUGAGCUGGACAACAAAACUUUCAAUUGUGAUAUUCAUAACAGAGAAGACAUAACUAUUCCAGCAAACCAAAAUACCCCCAAAUGCACCCCUAGAAGGGGAAAAAAGCAAAUUUGUCAAAACGCUUAGGGGUGAACUUCCUAAUGAAGGAAUGAUCAAAAUUACUUCUCUUAGUUUCAUGUAAACAAAAAAAAAUGCACAUCCGCUUUCCUCUAUCUUAUUCCUAAUAGCCAACCACCCAUCAUCAGAAUUUAUGCCUCUUACAUUCUAACACAGAACAUUCCAGUCCUAAAAGCACCAUUCAUUUUAAACAGUGAUAGUAGUGUAGAUCAUAUCUUACAUAACACAAACAAAGAAAUGAAACAAUGUUAAUGAAACACUUUUUUAAGCUUAGAAAUGCUUGCACGCACCAUCAUUAAUGAUUCAUUGUAACUUAUUGAUUUCACAUUUCACAAAUAUGCAUCAUCCAAACAAAGUAAAAUUGUAAAAGCUAGAAAAUUAGCUGUGCUACGAGCCUACUAACUUGCCUGAUUACCCCCUAUACUGGUUAGGAUAAUGGUUAUAAUAGCCGUAACCAGCAAAUCGAGACUAAAGAUCUCGAUCUUUAGUACCGGUUGAAAUAACAAGUACUAAAGAUGCAUACCAAGUCAAAAAACUAUAUGUGGGAUGUGGGACUCAAACUUACGAUCUCUCACCCCAAUCCUCACGUGCGUUACCAUCCCACCUAGUACACACAUCUGACUUAGAUAAAUAUGCUUUCUUUUUAAUCUAAUCGUAAAGACAUCUUUAGUAAAAAUAUCAUUAGUCCAAGUUAGUAUUACCAACAGAGAAUAAAGAUCCUCCAGCAUUAUUUUUGGUUGGUGAUACCAACCGGUACUAAAGAAGUAUUUUUAGUACCGAUUAGUAACAUUAACCAUGAGUAAAACUGUUUCUAGGGAGUUAGACUUUUAGAAUCGGUACUAAAGAAUCUUAUACCAGUUCUUAAUCCAACCAAGAUAUUUUUUAUUUUGGAUACCACAAUAAAAAGAUCAGUUAUAUAGUAAAUGUUGGUGCUACUUGACUGGUUGGCGGUGACAACUACCGUCGGCCAUAGCGUGCCUGCGUGUCGUGGGCUGCACCACUACGCUGGACUCCAUCUCACUGCCCGUUGUGCAGCGCUCGCCGCUUCGCAUGUGCCACAAGACGAGAGAUGAGAUACAGAGAAAACCCUAUACACGCACGUGCACGCCCGAUAGAUUCGUGUGCUGGUGGAGUCCAGACAAUGCAGCGGGGCCUUGCACUCUAUUUCGGCAUUUAUUUAUUUAUUGUGACCAGGCACCAACCGAUCAUUUAGGCCUAUUGCUGCAUACUGCUUUUUAAAAUUAUUUUGCAAAUUUUGGGUAUGCUGCCAGUCCAUACCGGGAAGGCAGGAACCCGUCCGCCCCUCUUUGAAGUACUACUAAUACAUGUUACAUUAUCAUUUUUAAUAAUAUGUUUAUAAAAAUAUUGAAAACAUUGCCACAUGAAUGUGUUUAUAUUAUAAAUAUAUUAUUAUAUACCAUUUUUCAUAUAUUAAAUUUUAGUUAUUUUUAUAUAGACCCAUCCUAUGAUGUCAUAUGUCUUUCUGCUGACUAUGCAGAAUCUAUUCGUGGCGGGCACAGACACAACAUCAACCAUAGUUGAGUGGACAAUGGCAGAGCUGAUUCGACACCCAGAUAUCCUCAAGCACGCCCAAGAGGAGCUAGAUGUUGUUGUGGGUCGUGAUAGGCUCCUCUCAGAGUCGGAUCUAUCACAUCUCACCUUCUUCCAUGCUAUCAUCAAGGAGACAUUCCGUCUACAUCCAUCAACACCGCUCUCGCUGCCACGCAUGGCAUCUGAGGAGUGUGAGAUCGCAGGCUACCGUAUCCCCAAGGGUGCAGAGUUGCUGGUCAAUGUGUGGGGGAUCGCCCGUGACCCAGCCAUAUGGCCUGACCCACUAGAGUACAAGCCCUCUCGGUUCCUCCCCGGUGGGACGCACACUGAUGUGGAUGUCAAGGGAAAUGAUUUCGGACUUAUACCAUUCGGUGCAGGGCGAAGGAUAUGCGCCGGCCUCAGUUGGGGCCUGCGGAUGGUCACCAUGACAGCGGCCACGCUGGUGCAUGCAUUCGACUGGCAGCUACCAGCGGACCAGACGCCAGACAAGCUCAAUAUGGAUGAGGCGUUUACCCUCCUGCUGCAAAGGGCAGAGCCAUUGGUGGUUCACCCGGUACCAAGGCUUCUCCCAUCCGCUUACAAUAUUGCAUAAAGAUUUACGAGUUGAAUAUAAUUAACGAAAAGUUAUUUCCGUGUGUGUGGCAUCAAAUAAAUAGAGGGUAUGAACUUUUGUCAUGGUGUUGCAUCAUUGUUGUAUGUUGGUAGAUUGGUUUUUCACGAGUAUCUAUACUCCUUAUAAAAAGGAGUAGUGGUGAUGAUUCUGCUACCACCCCACUACCAACUCUUAUCUUUUUUUAAGGACAUCUAGGAUUAGUGGGCCCAUAUGUCAUUACUCUCACCAACUUUUAUUCUUGUGAAAGGUUAUUACCGUGCGAAUAAAUAGUGGGUUUGAACUGUCGUUGUGUUAUAUCAUUCGAUGUAUGUUGAUUGGUUUUGUUUUUCACAAGGAGUAUACAUAUAUUAAGGGACAGAAUAAUUGUCAGUCGCUAAAAAAAUUGCAAUCCAUCAGUCGAUCUGUGUCAUCCGAUCUAGAAUCAAAGAUGUGAAUCUUUGUUGGGCCGUGGGUUAAUGUUCUUACUGGGCAAAUUCGAUGAAACUGUUACAGAAGUUAAUGUUGUCGUUGUCUUGCAUAUAAUAUAAUCCGAACCGAAAAAAUAUUCAGAUUUGCACUAUAAUUACGUGAAACUUGCACUAACUUUGUGCAAUUUCAACUUAUGAUAUGUGCAUGCAACAUAUAAAUAAAGUAUAAAACAUAGGAAAUGCACUAAUCAAAAGGUGCAUCAAACUGCAAACUUGCGGCACAAAGGGCAUCAAACUCGCUUGGUUCAGCACUCCGGCUGCUUUGCUUAUGCAAAUUCAUACACUUCUGUACGGCUUUCCUGCCUUUGCUGUCAUAUUUGGAAAAUUCGUCGCCACACAUGUGCAGUUGCAUGCUCUAUCUAAUGCUCUGUAAAUGGCAUAUGCGCUUGCUCCAUUUGGAACCAAAAUAUUAAUAUCAGAAGAUUAUUGUUCAGUGUGAAAGCAAUAUAUACAAAUAUGUACCUCAAAAAGUCACUUAGUGUAUAAACCUCCGAUAAGUGCAAGAAAAAAUAAGUUGUAUAUUCAAUAUACUGGAACUUGCAUCAAUUAUAAAUGUGUCAUUCUGUAUGAAGGGUUGUCCAAAGACUUGUGAAUCUGAUUUAGUAGCUUUGUGAAUAUGAUUUAUGAGAUGGUAAAUAUGUGAACUUUGCUACAUAUACGAUAGUUCAAAGAGCAGAACUAUCUGAAGGGCAGAGGCUGCUAAAAAUAAAUCUAAAGUAUAGUCUCCUGCGAUGUUUGUCAAAAACAAAAAUAUUGCUCCAAAAUUGAGCCGCUAUUACCAGCCACUGAACCAUAAAGGUCAGAUAGACGGAAAAAAAAAUCCCACCGCAUGUGUAAAAUUGUGGCGGGUUAUGCUUGAUUUGCCAAGCAUCUACACAGAACGAAAAAAAAAACAGAGAAGAAAAUCAAUUAUUACAAAACAUUAUAAUUAAAGUUGCAUAUUAUGGAGAUUAUGGGUACCAUAUAUCCAUAUAGACAUAUAUCCAUAUAAACAGCUUAUCCGACUAAAGAUAUAUCGAGCAUUGUCGAAUUUACAUCGUCCGGUGCCAUUUGUGACCAUCACAUGAUUUUGGAUUAGUGGAAUCCAUGCAUGGAUAAAAAGCCACUGAAUUCUUAAUAUUUACAUAUGAUCACAAAUUAACACCAUUCGGUAUAAAGUCUGCGAAUGCCGAACAUUGGGCAAGGGAGACAUUGUUGAGUCUUUAGCAUGCCAACUAUAGCCUGAAACGUGCUCAUCAUACCACAUAAACAGGCAACCAAAUGUAUUACACAUCCCAAGACACUUGACUCAAAUUGCUAAACCUCUAUAAUAUCUCAAUUACCCAAAAUUCUUACUUAUGCUCAGCUAACCCCAGAAAAUUGCUAUCUUUGCACUUUCAUCUAAGCCAAGUUAUCAAUUACAUAAAGACAUUACUUAUAUACAAAUAUAGACAAAUAACUUAGCUACAUACAUAGGGCCAACCGGCCAAAUGUUAAUGUCCAUCGGAAGCAUGUCUACCCAAAUUAACCCACAAGCAACAGACUAGGGGUAGACCACUAGAUAGGGCCAUCCUAAACUGGCAAACGGUACCGAGCACUUAUCUACUUGCAGUGAAGUCUAAACAAAGAUAUAUGAACAAAGUAUGAGUCAGUACAUUAAUGUACUGGCAAAGCUAGCGCACAAUCAAACCUACAUAUAUGAAGGCUAUAAUUCAAAGAGAGGCUAUAUGUUGUCUCAAUUUUCGCAUAAAGCCAAUUUUGAUUCACAAAUAUUUUGCAACGUAUUUAAAGUAAACAUUUGCAAUAUGUAAAGCAUAUAAAUCACAGCAUGGUGUUAACAUCUAUGCUAAUAUAAAAAGGAGGAGUUGUGCCUAGCAAUCCUACGGGUGAAAUCAUCCCCUCUCAUCUCAUUCGUCCAUCGACGAUCGACUCUAAUCUUAUCCAUCCGUUGUCCUCCUCGCCGAUUGCACCGAUUCCGCACCCACGCGAUGACCCGUCGCGCAAAUCCCCGCCGCGCUGACUCCGCCCCGCGAUUCCCCGCCGCCUCCUCGCUUCUCCUCCCUCCGCACGCAUCCUCCUUCCUCGCGACGGGCCAGCGCCGCCGCACCGCCGGACCAGCGCCGCCAUCCCAAAUCGCAAACAGCCAAACCCCACCAGGCAGACCCGGACCAGCGCCGCUACGCCUCCGGCCUUCCACCAACGACUCCGGUGCUACCACCGGUGCCGGCACGAUACGGACGCCGCUAUUCCUCCCACCUCCUUGCCGCAGGUCGCGAGUCACCGCGAUUGGCACCUCCUUGCCGGACACCGCGCGACCCCCCUAGAUUCACGCCCAAGCUCCGGCCGACGGUUUCCUCUCGGCUCUCGCGACACGAGACCACGCAUUUCAUCCCCUGAUGAUCCCCUUCCGUGCACCGGUAACUCCAUCUCGAUCCCCUUCUCCUCCGUGAAUGACAGAUCAAUGUCCCCUCUUCUCCAUACCGUGCGUGGCUAGCGCUAUGGAGCACUUCUCCAACUGAACCAGCCAUCUUCUCAUCUGCGCCACCAAUGCACCCUCAAUCUCCAUGGCCAGUUGGCCACACACUCAAUCUUCGUCGUCGCAGCUCCUCCUGUCAACACCUGCUCUCCGUCAACAAACCACCGGCCAACUCAUGUGAGUCAUUAAAUUUCUUUGAUUUGUUUGUGGUCGACUGCUAUGAGAUUUAUGCUAUAUUGGUAAUGCUAACCAUGGGCUAUUGUAAUGCAGCUCUCCAGCUAAGAACGUGAGAUGUCGGUGGUAAUUUUUAGCCGACCAGAGAUGCUGGCAAUCUUGCGGAAACAACAGGCAUGGUGACAGAUUUCUGUUCUUUUUUUACCUAUGAGGAGAUUGUUGAAAGCUGUUUUUUUUUUACUAAUGCAAUCUCUCUGCAUAUAUUUCUGAUGCUAAUCAGGUGUUAAAUCUUUUCUUUAUGCACACAAGAUGGUCGAUGAAAUUACCCAAUGCAUGACAUGCACUGAAAUGCUUCCCUCGCAUUCUACAACUACUACUGUUAUGACUUAUGACAAGUUGGAUGUUGAUGAUUGGAACUUUGGGAGACUGUCUUGGGAGGAUAAGAACCACAGAAACCGCUUUGCUUUCCUUGCGCUCGGGUGUGCACAAUUAUUACGAUGUGCCAGCAACUGAAAUGAGCGGUCAAUUUGUUGUUGUGCACUUGUCCACGUUGUAGAGUGGCUGUUUUCUAUUCUCUGGUUGAAUUGGAAUUUUUUUUCCUCACUUGUAUCUGUUAGUACGCAAGGAAUUGCCCACAGCCAAUGAGUUACAGGGAAAUGGAACUUGGAGAUACAGAUAUAUACAUACUGGAGAUGGCUCUGUUAGUAGCUUCAGAGGUGAUGGCUUUGGGGUGUCCACCAACCUCGAGAUCACAAUACAUACUCCAAAGGCUUCAGGUACAACAAAGUAUUGCCUUUCUUUUUUUUUACUGUUCAGAAGGAAUUAUGAAAGUAUUUAAAUUGAGUAUAAAAAGAUAUGGUGUUGCUAACUUCAAGAAAAUGUCUCACCCAAUUUCUGCUUUUCCUGUCUGGUUAAACAAUUACCCCUUGUAGAGCAAGUGAGCAUAAAGUAGAGGUCAUUAUAUUUUUCUUUUUGCUGCAAUUAUGUUUCCAAAUGAAUUAAAUUAUGCCUGUACAAUUUGUUCACAGGCAAGUUCAUAAUUUUUCAAUUUAGUUCAGUUCUCAGUUUCCAUCUGAAUAUAUGGAUCAUCAUAACACUGGCAAACUGUAUAUACAGCUCUGUGGCAUGAAUUUGUUGGAUUCAUGCUAUUGAUCCUUGGCUCGGUCAAUUUAUUUUUCUACAUGUGUAUAUGCACUGAGAAGAGUCAACAGAAAGGAAUGAUGAGUAAUGAGGCUUGAAGGAAUAAUAGUCUGUAAGGUGAUGCAUUUAUAUUAGUUUAACAAACAAAGGGAAGAUUGAUUCAUGCAUAUUAGUUUAGCAAACAAAGUGAAGAAUUGAUGCGAAGGAUCUGAUCAUGCUUUGGAUCUAAAUACCAAAUUGAUACUUUCUUGUUUGGGGAAAACAUUUUUUUCCUGUUAACUUUGUUAAAUGCUUUAGUUUAUGGUUUUUACACAAUGCCUUUAUUUUAUCACUGGAAUAAUGUGAAACUAUUAAGUUACCAAAUACUCUGUUUUCUUACCAGAUGAUAUUUUACGUCUCCAGCUCACUUUGUGCACUCUUAGUAUUUGCAUUGCAUUGUGUCUUCCUUAGCUAUAAAUGCAGCAAUCUGAAAGAAACUAUAUUGAAAUGCCAAAGUAGGAAACAUCUAAUAUAUUAUGGAGUAGAAUAGUAUAUAUUUGCUAAUAAAGAAUUUUUUAUGACCUGGUUUAAGUUAUAUAUAGCUUUCUUCAAGAAUAUAAAUUUUAUAAUCAUCUCUCCAUUUGCCACCUUAUCUUGAAGAAGUUUAGUUACCGUCAUCCUUAGGAAUCGUAAUUUGUUGAUCAAAAUAAUUUUCGUAGCUUCUAAUGUACAUGACUUAAAUUUAAUUUCCAUCCCCAGUAUAGCCAACAUGAAGGCUCAUAACUGUGGAUUAUGAAGGAAGGUUUUGAGGUGCUGAAGCAAACUAAUUAGGGAAAUAUUCAAUAUAUUUCUGGUAUUUGAAGUUGGUUCGUGCACUGACAUGGUUGGAUCUAUACUAUUGACAGAAGUGAUAUUGGGAGUCUUUUGUUCAAUUGGUAGUGUCCACCAACAAUGACAGUGAUCGAGAGGCAAGUUGUCGUCCAUGACCAGAGAUUAAGAAGAAUAACCUCUAUUAUUUGAAGUAAUCGGCAUUGAACACGGUGAUUCGGUGAAAACUACAAGUUGGUAAGCCGAAUCUGUUUUGGAGCAAGGUAAGCCUCCUUUGGGACAGAAUGGCAGGGAUACACUCCUUCAAGAAUAAAUGGAGCUUGUGAGAACUAUGAACACUUCUUGAUAUUUAGCUUUGAUUGCCCAUAUAGUAUUGUUCUUGUUUUUUUUUCAUGUUCAUGAAAAAUGUUUGAAAACGAGGAUCGUGUGAAUUAAGAAAUGAUCAUUUAAGGGUUUUUGUUUCUUUAUUGUUAGACGCUUAGCACUUGCUUAUUUGUAACACUAUGAAGUUGCAAAACUACUUAUACAAAGUUGAUUAAUUGGGCUCAAGUUCCAAUCAAAUGGUAUUUACUUAUUGUUGUAAAUUGGUACAUGCAAUAGAAACUUUGAAUGUAUAUUUCUUCACCUGGCAACUGACGUGACCGAUAUGAUCAAAUUUUGGGGCAUAAAGGUUUGGGGUAGUGAUAUUUGUCAUCUGUCUCCCAUUGUUCUUUUAUUGUCGUUGGUCAAAGAUAGUAUAUAUCUUGCCCUGCUGUUCUUCGGUUGGGUUAAUGGUUAGUAUAGAAAAAGAACUUCAAAUCACUAUUAUCUUUUUUUUUCCAGAAAAUAGUAAGCACUGCUGUGCACAAUUAGAUAUCAAAUGUUUUAAACAUUCUACACAUAAAUGUACAUAGACGGUUCAAUCAAAUAACGAUCAUAACGUGCAUUGCACGUGCACGAUUACUAGUAAAUAAAUAAGUGUCAUUCCUUACUACCCAACUGGUAGUAAGGCAACGUCAUAUAGCAUCAUUCCUUAGUACCCAACCGGUAGUAAGGCAACAAUAUCAUAUACGUUACUCAACAUCAUUUCAAAUCAUCAAGUUCCAAAAGCAUUUAUAAAACACAAAACUAUACCCACAGCACAUCACUAUGUCACUCACUGACUGUGAGCGCGGUUAGUCGAUUAGUUUUAGAUUCUGCCGAGUUUAUACAGCUUUAUCCACAUGAUGUGAAUUGCUCUAGUUUAUUCGGUACCCGUCAGCAUAACCACACUCUACACGUUGAAUGUGGUCUAGAGGUUAAAAUGUAGCCUUUACAUUAAACUAGACCUAAUGCCUAGCCUUGCACCAGCACGACAAAUGUGAAUUCACCCUAGGAAUAACCUAGAGCCAUUAGGUGGCAGGCCCACGCCUUAAACCUAACGCAGUGGCGGCAAAAGCAUAUGUUUCCCCAUGAGGCAUUGUACCAUUGUAUUGGACAAACUUAGAGACCUAAACUACUCUCAGCGAGUAAAUAAGUAGCUCCUCUAGACAACCCUACUACCUUUACAGGUCAAUAGGAAGGCUAGACAUUACAUAACUUAAUUGGAUAAGGCCACCCCAUAAAUAGCACAUGUGGAUGUAUGGUAAACAUAAGUGGAUGCGGUGGCGAAUCCAACGGGAGGCCCAGGGUUGGCCUAGCACCCCUCAUGGCACAUGCGAAAGACACCCCCUUGGAUGAUUAAUUGUCAUGCCCAGAAAUUCGCUACCAAAAUUUCAAGCAGAAUGUGUAUUAAAAUCUCUGUCCAAGACUAGCCGGAGUACGCAAACGACAAUUUGAUAAACAGAUCCACGUCUUACAAAAAUAAUAAAUAAUUCUUACAAACGCAGCGAAAAUAAACAACUAAACUGGACUUAAUCUUCACGACCAAAAGCGAAGCAUCCUCCAUAGAACCACAGGCAUCCUCAAUGUCCGAAACAAGCUCAAUCCUUAUAGAACUCACCAUCUGAAUCAAUCUCUGCUUCUAGGGUGGGGAAAAAUAAAGCAAGACUGAGUACCAACCACCGUACUCAACAAGUCAUACCAACGGGAAGGUAUGAUGUAAGAUAUUCGCAAAGGAUAGGCCAUAGGAUAUUUGCAAUAAAAGCAGCAUUUAUAAAUCAUAAUUUGAAUAAGUAAAACAGUAGAUAUAAUUAAGUAAUAUUAAAAUAUCACUGUCCAACGCUAAACCACGUUGCAACAGGCCCAACCAAACCACCUGAACAACACCAGUUCAAUAAGUCAAAUUAUUAUAGUGAGACUAAUCACGUUGAGCUGGUUAACCGCCCAAAAACCGCGGGCACGGCUAUUUGAAUAGUUUUAACUCUGAUCAGAGGUUUAUAACUGUUGGUUUCUUAACGACAUUACUAGAAAUAUAAUUCCCAGCAAUGGCGCAGAAAUAUUCAUGGUAUAUUAUGGUUAUAAAUCACAUCCGCAAGCGCACGGAUAUACCAUUGUAGCAUUUCACUCAGAAGUAUUCCAAGGGUAUCUUAUUUGUUUAAUCCCGUGGGAAGAUUAUAAUAAAGAGAAAUAUGCUAAUAUUUAUAUGUUACUUGUCAUAAUCAAAGUCUAAGCAGUGGUUAAUUUAAUUCAAGGGUAGAGUGACACGAAACAAAAUAACUCAUUCUCUCAUAAAUACUAAGUCUAGGCUAAGAGGAAAAGAAUAAGAAAAGAAUCUAUUCCUAUUCUUCUAAAAUACAUACAACUUUAGAUAAUAUUAUCUACUAUAUAAUUAUAUAGCCAAUACCCCCUUUACAAUUCCCUCAUGGUAUUUCGAGAGACCACCCCUGGUUGCCGAGUUUCUUGCGACAACCCAUCAUGGCCAUCCAACCGGGGCUAAAUACGGAGGAGUAUCCUCCCCAGGAAAGUAACUUAGGAUUAUAUACUAACGUAGAGGAAUACCCGUACUGAGCUGUGACCAUCAGCGACCCACCUCUACUGUCUCGCGGCAUAUAACACCUAAUAAUGAUAUUCAAUAGCCUAAGCACCUCACGUAUGCUACCAAAUACUACUCUAAAAUCAUCGUCAUGACAUAGAACAAUCAUAUAAGUGAACAUUAUACCCACACCAGUGCAUCUCCUAGGUAAGCUAGCUAGACAAUUAUAUCUCGAAUAAUAUAUCAGAAAGUCGGUACUCAAAAAAUCAGAGUGAAGUAAAGUACCGUAAAUAUAUUUAGAAGAAUAUUCUAAUAAUUGUAUAAGUCUUACAAAAGAAGGAAGAGCUACUAGAGCCAUACCCGAAUUCUCCCGAGGACUCCGAGGACUAAAGAAACUAUUCUAUUCCUAUUCCACUAGCAAUAGAAUACUAAACUAAACUUGAGAGAAAGCUUGGAGCUUCUUGCUUGAGUGUGUGAUGAAGGGAAUGAGGUGAGGGCCUUUUAUAGGCUGGGAAUGACGGUUAUGACGGUUGGAAAGGUCGGAAACGCCCUCCAACCAUCAUUGGGAGUGAAUGUCCACUGUUCCCUCAAAACCCUGAAUCCAACAGAGCUGGCACUGGUUCGGCCGAACCCUAGGCUAGCCCAACCGGCCCAGUUUCUGGCAGGCCUCCUCUUUGACCUCUUCUUUCUUCAGAGUUUGUGAAUUUUGGCCCUUUGUGAGUCGUGUCAAUUUUGUGUUCUAGCCCAUCUAUCCAUAAGUCUGAUUCUCGACAGCGUCCGAUUGAUUGAUCGUCCAUUUUGCUGUCAAUUCUUCUCCGUUUCGUGUUGUAUUCUCUACAAGAUGUUAGAAUCCUAGUGCAAGUGGAAAUAGUUAAUUUUAAAACAAAUAUGCAUUGCAAGCAUAGCUAGUUGUCCUUUGUUAUAGUAAUAUCGGAGGCCGAAACUGAUCGAUAAUGACCAUCAACAUCAACUUUACCCACAUGGCACGAUUCCACACAUGUUACCAUGCCCCGAAGUACCACCGCGAUACUGCAAAUGGGAAAAUCGUGACAAAACCUGUCAUAUAACCCUCCCUAACCGAACAUACCCACCUCAGGUUUCACGCCCUCCUUAUGCCAAGUCGGCCAGUCCCCUUUUAUUCCUAGGUAAAUCCAGAAACAAUGAAGACCAAAAGCCAGGUCCGAACUGCACCAUCGCCUCUACCCUUACCAUGGUAUGUCAGCUAGGUUAAAUUAUACUCUAGAUUAAGCCUGGAGCCCACGCUGGCAUGUGGUAAGUACGAUUAUAUCUUCCAAGGAUUCCCGAGAAUCGGUCCUUAAUUGUCAUGGGCAUGACUUCCAAAUCCACGCAUCCACAACCCACUAUUAAAGCAUAUUUUAGUUUAAUUAAACAAUAACCAUGGGGGUACAUCAUCAUAUAAUUAAGGACUAAAUUAUAAUGAAUCACAUUGUGAACUAAUUGAUCUAAGCAUGGCUAAGCAUUUCUACAACAAACAUCUAAUCAAUUAUAUCCCAAGUUAUCAAUAGCAUAAGAUAUCAACAAGCUGAGGACGAUAGGCAUCCAUCCCACAUGACAUUCUAAAAUAAUGCAAUUUAAUAAAAAGCAGGGGAUUUUAUAAAAUAGGUUCAACAUGUUCAAUGUUGUAUGUAUGACUUGCCUUGCUCUUGAACAGAUGGAACCUCAGCAACCACUUCAAAAUAAGCUGGAUCACCGGAACUACCGGAAUCUAUACGACAAACAAAUUAUACAAGAAAUACAAGCAAUAAGGCUACUGAAAUAGUAAAAGAAAUCAAUUUUAAUGGAUUCUAUACAUUUUAAUGAAUUCACUGCAACUUGAAUGGGUUAAAACGGAGCUCAGAUUAUUUAGAUAUGAAUUUUACAAUAUGAGCUGUGUAAUUACUAACAACCGAAAAACCUUAAUCAAUUAUUACAUAUUAAUGCCCAUAGAGAAAUAGAUCAAUGGAAAUAUAUCACCAGUAAGCAAGCCUCACAAAUUAGUGACUCAACCAGCCAACACAUCGUGACACGGGACCGUCAACCAAACCGGCGAACGGAACCGGCAGCUCAGAACGACUCUAAACUAAAGAACGACUCAGAACGACCGAACGGACUAAAGCUUUGGCAAUACUACGUGCGAAUGAUCCUAAAGCAACUUAGCGAACGGCUGCAGCAAAGUCGGCAACUAAGCAUGGUUUGCGGCAAUGACCCGGUAUGGCAAACAAUAGGCCGGUAGAGACUCGCAUGUACUAAAGCGGCUAAGCAACUCAACUACCGAGCUAUGGGCAGCAGCUGAACAGCGAUGGCGACACGGGACAGCGGCGGCGAUGCUCAGCUACGGCACCCGGCAGCGGCGGCAGCGGCUGCGCGGCUAGGGCAGCAGCAACGGCGCACGGCGGUGGCGCAGCAGGGCGGCUCGGCUGCAGUGGCAGUAGCGGCAGCGGCGCGGCGGCAGCGGGCGGCGGUACACGGCACGACACACAGCAGCGGCGGCGCCUUGGCCGGCAGCGGUGCUAGGGUUUACCGCGGUGACACAACAACGCGACAAACACUCGGUCAUGCGGUUAGGGUUAACGCUAAACGAUCAAGACACCAUCUAAAUAAAGAAGGGUUGGAAAAGAUUUCUCACCGAGGAAAACAACGGCAACGGCAAGGGUUUGGAACAGCGGUGACGGUAACCCUGCGAGGAUGACGACGACGACGCUAAACGAAACCUAGGAUGGAGUAGAUUAGAAUAUACAUAGAUGGAGAAUAGCGGCGGCCAUAGCACGGAGAGGGAGUGCGGAUUACCGGUACGCAACGGCGACGAUGGCGAUGGUGGGAGGGCACGGCGCGCGGCAGGAAGGGGGUGGAGGGGAAAACCGAAAAUGGCGACCAAAAAGGGAAAGGAAAAGAAAAAUUGAUGCGGUGCCGUUUUAGGAAAAGAACGGACACGGAACUAGAAGCGGAUUCGGACUCGGCUCGUUAUACAAAAUGGAACCGCAGACUAACGGAUAAGUGAACCAGGCACGGUUCAUGGCCAAAGGCGGGCAAGAAAAUUAUUAUUACUUCAACUCCUGACAUUUUAAAUUAACUUUUGUUAUUUCCCUUACUCUGAAUAUUCCACUAUACAUCCCGUUAAUGAUUUAUAGCAAUGAGAAUUCAAAAAAAAAAUCUCCCUGAUAAUUCCAAUUAUUAAACACUUUGUUAUUUAGGGUUUUCUCUUGGUUAACAACGUAUUUUCUAUAGACGAUUUAGCAAUGAUUUAGAAACUACAAAAAAGGGAAAACUCCGGGUGUGACAUUAACUAUAUAUUUCGUAUAAUCAGUUGUGAUUAGUUGUAAGUUGAAAUUAUUAACUAUCCACCAUCGAUGUGGUUCACAAGUCCCUACAACAGAUGAAGGGAUGUGACGCUGUGUCAUCCAUAUAAUUAAUUACUCAUUUUAUAAUUGGUGCUAUUGUUGGUAUUUCUUAACGUCACAAAUAAAAUCCGCAAGCGCACGGAAGAUACCGAUGUAGCAGUUCACCCUCAAGUAUUCCAAGGUAUCGAUUUCCUCAGGGAACGUGUGUGUUCAGCUCCUCUUCAGGUUCACCCAAGGACAUGAAGCAAAUGUAGGCAAAGGGUAAAGAGGAUUUCCUAGUGAGAAACCAUGUCUACGGAAAGCUCAAUUUAAUCCUAACGUGAUACUUUAGGCACUGGCCAGCCCGCUGCUCAAAGAUGUUGCUCUACUGCAUACCCAGACAGGGAGGACUUUAGUGUAUUUAAGGGCUGUCACCACCUCUACGCCUACCUCAAACCUACGGUGGGAUACGAAGCAAUCACCGGAAAUUAAUUACCCAGACUCUACGUCUAUGCAAUUAAUAACUACUUUAGCGCUAGCUAAACAGUAAAGUAAUCACUAUAAAUUAAUGGGCUAUAGCGAACAAUGAUCCCGCAUGUGGGCACUCGAACAUUAUAUCGUCCAGUGCAAUUCGUGACCACCACAUAAUUUUGGAUGAGUGGGAUCCAUACACGUAUAAAUAGCCACUCAUACCUCAAUGUGCUCAUGAUCACAAUUUAACACCAUUCGAUAUAAAAUCCGCAAUGCCGAAUCAUGAGCAAAGGAGAUAUUGUUCGGACUCAGCAUGCCAGUCAACUGCAGCCUGAGACAUGCCCGUCAAACCACACGAAGGCAGCGACCAAAAGUGUUACACAUCUCAGGAGACUUGACUCAAAAUGCUAAAGCUCUACAACAUCUCAAUUGCUCAAAAUUCAUACUCAUGCUCAGCUAGUCCCCAGAAAACUGACUAGCCUCGCACUUUCAUCGCAAGCAAUUGAUAAACAUCACAAAUGCAUAAAUCUAGAUACAAGGACAGCAAGGUACAUAUUUCAUAACGGGGUUCACAAGCCCAUCAUACAACACAAAAUAUAGCAGCGGAAGUUUCAUAAUUUCUCAUAAGCAAAAGAAAAACCUGUGGUGUGCCAACAACCCCACAAGGGCAACCAAUCGGGGCAAGAGCGAACUUCAACUACUCGCUACCCUCGCCACCCUUGGUGGGAUAGUAGUAGGGCACAACAUCAACGCCGGCAUCCUCACCUGAAAAUAGCAACAUGAGUACGAAAGGUACUCCGCAAGACUUACACCAUAUAUGAUAGUACAAAGGAGUAUGCAAAUUUCUACAUCAAAGGAAAUGGCUAAGUGGUUCAGAUUUUGCAUAGAGCUAAUUUUGUUGAGCAAGUAGUAAGUUGCAAAUAUAACAUUUGUACAAAAUAGCAUAAUCCGAAAUUUAGGACAGCAAGCAAGUAAAUCUGAAAUUGAAUCACAAAUGAGCACAACCGGUGCUCUCAUCACCAUCCAUGGGCUACCGUUGCCCAACCAUGGAUUCCAAACAUAACUAUCACCAUAUCCAUGACUAAACCAGCCAUUUAACCCAAGUUUGAUGCUAACAUAGACUGACUAACACAUCAAGCGAUCGUCCUAUAACCGUGGACACGGCUAUUCGAAUAGUUUUACUCUGAUCAGAGGUGUACAACUUUACCCACACGAAAUGAACAAGGAUCAAAUGCUUCACACGCACACAGGUGUGACCUACAAGUGAUACAAGCUCAUAACAUGUCCUUUCCUAGUGACACCCCAACCACCUAAACCACGCCUAGGCCCCCGUCGACUUAGCCACGUGCGUGUGAUGUGGCCAGCUCACCAUCGCGGGAGAAACCCCCUGCCAAAAUCAGGCACACCCGGGGCAAUCCAAAGGGAAAACCACCCUCACGAAUGACCAGCAAGACGUAGAUGAGCACAGUGCAACAUAGUACUAAGACAAGCCGGUCCCAAAUAAGGUGUGUGGAAGUACGUAUGGUGCUUGAAUAGACGUCAACAUGUUCGGUCCUUAACAACCCAGACAAGGCUACUUGCAUCAGGGAAAAUGACCAUCCCGUCAUCGCCCUAUCACACGUCCAAGCUAAAGCAUGUUUCCAUAUUAAUCAUUGAGUGAGGUAAUCAGAUUUUAAUGCCCAUAAAUCGCGGGUGGUGAAUAAGUUCAUCCGAUGGCUCCAUCCAUCGAUUUCUAACAACAGUAGACCUAAGCAUGGCUAAGCAUUCGAUGAUAGAAUAAACCAUCCUAACCAUUUACAAUUGAAGGUGACAAGGUUACAUGGCAACAAUAUAUUAAAGGAAGGGAAAUGCAUGAACUUGGAUAUAAACAACUCUACCCGUUACCGACAUUUUAAGGCAAUUCAACUUAUGCAUAUAUAUAGUUUUUGCAAGCAAAUAAGUUUUGUGAAAUCAUAGGUUCAAUAUCCAUAGACGCUUGCCUUGCUGCUGUGCGGAAACACACUCAACCUCUGAGUCUUGCUCCACGUAUUCCAAAUUCUCCGAAUCUACCAAUAAGAGGCAAAUAUGCAAAUAAGAUUCAAAUAAAUAUGCAUAUGCAACAUGCUCUAUAAAUCAUGGCCUAAUUACAGUAGGUAGAGAGUAUGAUAAACUAAUUUUAGGAACAAGAAUCAACUCAUUUACAUUUAUGGUUUGAGAGGUAUAAAAAUAACAAGCCAUAUACACUGAAAAUGGCAUUGUUUCAGUUACAUAUGAACUAACCUAAGUCAUAUGAAAAACUGACAUUUUCUUAACAGAAGUUGAAAAGUUUUCCUUUACAAACAUAAGGUCUACAAGGUUAUGAAUACACAGGGAUUUGAUUCAUUCAAAGAUGAGUUAAAAUGAAAUACUUAUGGAUUUUUGAAGUUUUCCCAUUUCUCAACAAGGUCCAGCUUCUUCUCCAAUUGAGCAGGAAGCAGAGACAGCCAUGGCUGAGCUCGAUCUCAAGCUCGCUGGCAGCAAACGAUGGCUCUAAUUGGGGCAAGGUCAAAAGAGAACAUGGAGAACAAGUCUUUGAGAUUCCAUUCCUAUACUCUACCCAGCCCAGUGGUGGCCGGACAGGUGCAGGCAGCGGCUGCAAGUGGCAGCGCUCGGGAUGUCAUGCAUGUAACGAUGCAGCGCUGUGGGUGGUUCGCUCUAUUGCAUGCAUGUCAAGAACAUCACAUGCAAGAAAAACAUACAUUAAGGACUUGAUCCUACUGCUAAGAAGACACUUUUUGGCUUGAGGUGAAGAGCUGAUACCUCACCAAAACAGGGAAGCAAAGAAGACACCGAGCAGUUGUCACCAAAGGAGAGAAAACAACGUGCAACCUGCUCCUAGCCUUGAAAUCUUGAACCGGCGACCGGUGGAGGAGGCUAGGAAUGCUCAGCAUAUUAGGGAACCUAAGAGAGAAGCUAUGGAUGGGGAAGGAAGCUCACCAAGUGGAGGAAAACGAAGUGUUACUGCUACUGCACCAAGCAGCAAGCUCCUUCUCUUUUCUUCUCGAUCUCCCUCACAAAUCUAUGCAUGUGCAAGCCAUUUGGAUGGAUGGAAAGCUUAGAAUCACAAGGAUCUAGUGGUGUGACAUGCAGGGCUUGAUUCUUGCAUUUUCAAGAAGAUUCGGGAAGGAGAAAAUUAGGAGAGAGCUCAGCUCAUGGGAGAACAGACAAGGGAGGAAGAAAGGGGAAGAAGAUGAAAGGGUUUCCUGCUUGCCUUAUGAACCUGAGCUGGGUGCACGACCUGGAGGUGGGAUGGGGCUUGGUGGAGAGCCUAGGUCAGUGACAGGUGGGGCCAAGUCGAGCUGGGUCCACGGGACAGAUAAAGGAAGGUUAGAAACAUAGGUACACAUUGAAACUAGUUGAUUUGCAGGCAUUUUCUUCCUCUCAUUCUUGGGUAACUAGAUUGACCUAUCUACAAGAGUGUCAAAAAUGUGUUUUCUGGUGUGGAGAUAGAUUGAGUUACCUAGUUUCCAUUUUUCAAAGUUUCACUCAAAAAUUCGUAAUAUUUUAAUUCUGGCAAAAAGGUGAAAAGGGGAAUGCUGAGAACUGAAUUGAAUUUUAAUGAGGUCAAAACAAAGUGUAAAAAUUCUACAAAAAUUAUAUUAACUCAUGAUAAAUAAUCUAGUAUUUGAAUAAAUUAUGAAAGUUAUACCCUAGUGUUCAAAUUAGUGCACAAGUAGAUGAUGCUUUGAUUUGCCGAUUAGGUUUUUAAUUUGCUCCAAAAUUUAAUUAAAUACAAAAGCUAAUGCAAAAAUAUUAAAAAUACAACCUAUUGAUAUAAAAGUAAUCCUAAAUACCUUGUACUAAAAGAUAGGACUGUGACACCGCACGCUUAUUAGGAACUAACCAAGAAUAAUUCUCACGAAGUAAGUCUUAAUUACUCAAAAUGAUAUUUCUAUUAAAACAAAUUAAUUAAUAAAAUACAAAGAAUAGAAGAGGAUUACCGACAACUCCGGAAUUCCUUCAACUUCUUCUACUUUACUCUCUCCCUAAUUCAAGUAUACAAUAUAGUACAAUAGAGCCUCUUAUAAUUUAGCUCAAGCUUGGAAUGUGUGUGAGUGAAGUGAGAAUGGGAGCUCUAUUUACAGGCAGGUAAUGGUGGUUAUAACUAUGCGAAUUGUCGGAAUUGCCCCGCAACCGCCAUCAGGAGAUCAUCUGAAGCGUCCAUACCAAAACCUAGAUCCAACAGCGAUCCCCAGGGUUCGGCCGAACCUGGGCUAGGCCAGAUGGCCCCCAGAUUUGGUCUGGGUCUCCUCCUUGCUCUGCCUUAUCCCUUUUUCCGGUAGUUGGGCCCAUUUUUUGGUGUUUUGAUGGAGUUUAGGAGCCCAACUCUUGUAUGGAUAGAAUUCUUUUUCACUUUGGUCUAAAUUUCCUCCCAACUUUGGCGGUUUAAUACCUGCAUCCGAAUAUACACCAACACUCAUGGAAUAUACCAGAAUUAAGCCCUACCACUAUGUUAUAUAUUUUAUUAUCUAAGUAUUAUGCAGGUAUUGGCGACAUAAAAUUGGCAUUUUAUAGCUGCCAACAAACCGCCCACACUUAGCUCUUUACUCAUCCAAGGUUAAGAAGCUAGUGUAGAAUAAAAAUUUCCAAGAUAUAAUGCAAGCACAUAAAUUAUUCAAAACCAUUCUCGUACCUGUGAACUUUAACAGUGGCUAACUUACCAUCUUGGGCAAUUGAUAAAUGGAACGGUCUCAAUUCCUGCCUGACUCUUGGGGGUUUUAUGCAUUUUCACAAAAUGGCUAUACUCCUCAUAAUAAAUUACUCUCGAAUUACUCUGGUGUUUUGAUUUUGUGGGUCCUCACCAAGGCACAUUUUGCCAAAUUGUCCCUAGGCUGUGUAGGUGGAGCUUGGUAGGGAUAAAUUGGACAUACCAGCAUUAUAUAUAUUGUAAAGCCAAAUAAAUGGACUCAAGAAGAUAAGCAGGUAUUGGCGGCAUAAAUUUGACAUUUAAUAGCCACCAACAACUAUUUAAUGACCUAGUUUAAAAAUGAUUCUUUUUAUAUUAUACUAACCUACAUACAUGCAUAUAUUAGUGCUGUCGGCAAAUAACCAUAUAAUCCAAAAUAUAAUUAUACGAGAAACGACUGGGUGAACAUAUCAAAUUUAUACACAUUUAUUGCAAAUAUGAAGUGAUUGGAUAGGGCCAAUCUGCCAUCAACAAAAGCCAAGUCGCUAAGGUGUAGAGCCCAAUGUUAGGCCUUGUUUGGUUCAGCUUAGGAUUAUUAUAAUCUAAAUUAUUAUGAGUAAGCUGAAACAAACAAGUAGAUUAUCAUAAUUUGUAAGCUAGAUUACUAUAAUCUAAUAAUCUCCUCUGGAGGAGCUUUUUCCAGAUUAUUGGGUGGCUAAAGACCCACUACCCUUAGAUGCCUUCAUAAUCUAGAGAAACAAACAACUCGCUGCUUAUUUUAUGUUAGCUUAUUAUAAUCCAGCUUAGAGUAAUCUGAUUUAAUAAUCUAGAUUACAAUAAUCUUAAGUUAAAACAAAUAGGGCCUUAACCAGUGGGUUCUCGUUCUUUCUAUUAUAGCUAAUCGCCAAUACAUAGUGUUGACCACACGUCCGCACCAAUGUCGGCUGAGUCACUGGUGAAUUCUGACCCACACCCCCAGUCACUAAAUCUUGGCUGCAGCCCUGAGUGAGUGUUAUGUAGUUUGAUCCUUAAUCAACUCAGGCGAACAAUCCUCUUAUUGGUAUGCAACUACCGUCAUAUGCAUACCAUUUACCGCCCAAGUCUAAAAUUCACAUUUUUCAUCAUUUUAGUGCACAAAUAUUCAGAGCAUCACCUCUGUCCAUAAGGUUUAAGAAUGUCCAAACAGAAUAUAGAAGUGAUUCACAUAAAAGCUCUAGGCAUGGCUAAGCAGGGUACACAUAAAACUUAAAUAGUUUCAUUUGAGCACUAACAAUGUACUCUAAAUAUUCCUAUGGCUACAAACAGCAAGUUAGCAAGGUUUUUAAUGGUGGUUAUGCACCAAGUAGGAUAUAGCUAUCAUUUUCCGAAUUUUGAAGAUAGUCAAUCUACCUAUAGUUAAACAAAUACUUUCACUCAUUCUUUCAUUCAUUACUCAACGGUUCAGAUUAUCCCUGUGAAAUCCAAUGCUCCAGAUUCACCCUCCCCACAAAUGAGCACCCCCUUCCCACCCCAACCACGCCCAAACCGUGAUCGCUCCUCCCCCAGCCCUAAUCUCUCUCCUCUCCCUCUCACGCCGUCACGCGCCGCCAGCGAUCUUCACCAUCACACCGCCCCGCCACGAUUGACGUCGCCGCUGACCCCCAGCUUCUCGUAGAACGCUAAACCCUAACCUCCCCUCUCUCCCCGCCGCUCGAGGUCGUUCGAUCAUCGCUGCUGCUCGUCGCCUGGAGCGAGCGAUGCGGUCACCGGAGAUGAGCACAACCGCUGGGGCACCAUGCUUUCUCGAUCGGAGGCCAGCACGAUGGAGGAGGUUGUGGGAGAGACGCCGUCACACGCUGUUGAUCCGGUUCCUUGCUACUAGAUCAGGAUGCAGUCCCACUUUUUUUCGUAAUCUGCAUGUAAUCCUAGGGUUGGAGGAAAGGCACUGUGGAGAGGAGAAAGUGGAGACGGGGUGCCGGCGUGCUGAUGAAGACGAGUGGCCAAGAAUAGGUGAAUAGCUCUGUUCUAUUGCUAGCUAGCUUUUUUUUUUACUUACUAUGACAAAUUGAUCGAUCUCCCUGUUGGAUUUUUAUUAAUUCUGAUGGAGGAAUGACGUUUUGUUUUGAUUAACUUUUCUGCCGUUUGAUUUGCAGGAUUACUUUGCUAGAUUUAGCCAUUGUAUAAUAUUCAAAACAGAGGCUUUCACUAUCACUAAUUAGAGAGCAGAAACAGAAAGAAUAUAGAGUCAGAGUUGGUGUAUCCUGCAAGUCUGACGAUUGGAUUGUACAUGAACUGCAAUUUGCAUUUCAUGCUACUAUGGCAUUAUGCUCGGUGAAUCUUGCUGACUUCCUUUAUUCAGGCACAAGUAAUUUGUGUCGGAUGAUCAAUUCUAAGCAGUGUCUAUGUGAAUACCAUUUGAACAAGGAGCUGUGUAGGUUUUUAGGAUUCAAUUCUAAUGAAGCCAAAGAAAAUAUCUUGAAGAUAUUUUUCAGGUUAUUGUUGUCUUUUGUGUCCUUCAGAGAUGGGGAUUUUGUACUAAUUUAGUCACUAUCUUGAUAUACCUGUGCUGCUGCUACCCAUAAUACUAAAGUCUGCCUAGAUAAUGAUUUUCAAACUGCAUUGCAUGACCAGAAAUAUUAUCAGUUAGGAUUAGAUUGUUCUCAAGGUUUUAAUGAUUGUCACAUGGAUAGUUCUUUCUACUACUUUCACUAUGUAGGUGCAUAUCUAAGGGAGUAAUAUAUGUUUCAUGUGUGUCUGCAUCAACUAAAAUAUACCUGAUGGAUGUACAUGUUCAUUAGGAAAUUAGAGCUGCAACAAAUAAAUUUCAUGAUUUUUGUUCCCACCAUCGUAGUAAAUUUCAUGUGCUAUAGACGAAUAGCAAGCUAACACACGUUCUUGAGAUUCUUUAAACAAUCAAUUAUUUACUUGUUGGUAAAUCAUGCAUCUACAGUUAGAUUUGUGGUUUCCGUGAUUGCAUUACAUCACCUGAAGUAAUCAACAGAUUUGAGCAUUUUGUGUAUGCAAGUAGUUGAAGAAUUUCACCAUGUUCUGCUUGAUAUGAACAUUAUGCUAGAGUUCCAGUAGAUCCUGGCAUCACAGUCCCCUAGGUUUGGUAAAUUCAAAUUUACCAUGUUACUACGACAUGUACGAUAAUUUGCAGGAAUAUGAAAUUAUUUUUAGACCAAAUAUAUUACAACAAUAUAUAUACCAUUGUUUGGUUUUUCAGCUUUUGAGACAUUUGAACUUAUUUUGCUAAAAUAUGUAUCUUUUAGCAUAUGAUUGUUUAAUUCAUAUUACUAAAUAUCGUCGUAGCGUUAGUACGGGCAUAUUACUAAUAGUUAUAAUUACACAUGCAUCUCUAUAAAAGAACACUUUUAGCCCGAAACACAUGGGAUUCAAUAUGUUCAAAGGGAGAGGAAAAACUUGCCUUGAUCAAUGUCCUCACUGAGGUCAGCAAUAUAUCCAAUUUCCUCACUGAUAUCGAAUUUGUCCUCUAAAAGAAAUAACAGUAAUCAAAUAAAUGCCAAAACAUGUAAAAAAUUAAAAUGCUCUAAAAUGCAUGAGUUCACUACUGUGUAUAGGUGCAUAUGAUUUUUAGUGAAGGAAUUUUCUAUUUUAUCACUUUGCAUUUAUGAGUUAUUAAUUUUUAAAGUUUAAUGCUAGCUCUAGGUUAAUUAUGUCUUAUUAAGCUUUUGAUACAUUUUAGGUACAAAUUUUGUGAAGUAUUAGGUUACUGCAGUGAAUUUUACGUUCUCAUGAGUUCAACAAAAUUAGUGUCAUCAUUUUUAGAGUUAGCAUGAUUUUAUUAUGAAUUUUAUAAGUUGUAUAUACAGGCUUUAUUAGCUAUACCCAUUUUUAGAAAAGUUUCUAGUACUGUAUGUGCCACAUUUUAUUUUACAGUAAAUAAGUUCGUGAGAUUACCAGCCUAACCAAUUUGUAAUUACUUCAUUUAGAGUUGGAAUGAAUUUUAUAUAGAUUACAGAAUUCCUAUACUAUUCUUUUACAUUAAUUCAUUGUACCAAAUUCUGAGAUGUUUUGAGUACUGUUUCUCCUAGAUAUCAGGUUACAGAGUUGAAGUUCAUACUUUUGUGAAGCUAACAAAUACUUAGUUUGACCCAUUUGAAGUUAAAAUGAAUUACUUAUGGAUUGUAUAGCUUGUAGUUUACAUUAUAGUAGUAAUUUUACUACACAGUUAUUUGGUGAUGAUUUUGUUACUGAAAGUGUCAUGUUUUACCUUAUGACAUUCAGGAACAUGAUUCUCUGAGCAUACUAAAAUUAAGUUCAUCUCAAAAUGAGUUAAUAUGAAUUUUCUAUGGAUUUUACAAGUUAGAGAUUGCUUUAUGUAUAUUAUUACACAUACAAAUUUUAGGGACAUUUCUUCUACUUAAGUGCCAAGUUUUAUUUUACCCUAUUAAACAUUAUAAUUUUGUGAAUAUACAGAUAUUUGGUUCAUCCAAAUUGGAGCUAAAAUGGAUUCUAUAUGCAUUUACAAGUUUACUAAUUUUUCUGUUGAACAAUAAUUACUUUAGUUAUUUUAUUUACGUUUUCCAGAUUUUAAAUAGGAUGGGUCCAUAGGUCAGUCUCAGGAACAUUUGCAGAAAAUUCCCUGGGUUUCUAAAGAAUCAACCCGAAGUCCUUAGCACAUGUUUAAAUCAUCUUUAUUAAGAGUUCACAGACUUUUACAUAUUUACAACUAAGUCCUGGGUCCAAAAGUCAUACCAAGAAAUCUUUCAAAGUGAACAUUACAAGUUUUAAACUAUUACUAAUCAAAGCUGUGAAAUACUUGGUAGCAGUUUUCACAGAACUUAAAGCAAUUAUAUGUCAAAGAAAGCAAAUACCCUUCCAAAGUUCAAGCAGCGCAAAAUUCGCUAAUACCUAAAUCUGUCAAACAGUUAAGGGGUUUCCUUAGGUUAGCUGGCUAUUAUAGAAAGUUCAUCAGGCAAUAUGGACUCAUUACAAAACCUGUGACCAAUUUGCUCGAGAAGGAGCUGAUAUUCCAUUGGGGUUUGGUUGAACAAGAAUGUUAGCAACCCAACAGGAGAUAGUUCACGGAAUCCAACAAGAUUGGUGCCGCCACCGCCUUCGCCACCGUUCUUUUCUUAAUUGUUCGAUCAGAAAGGAAACAUAGUAGUUAUAGUAUUACAUUCCAGUUUCUCUCUCUCUCUCUCACUCACAUUACUCCUUGUGGGCCAGGAAGGUGCUCAUUUGGCCUAUUCCGGAACAUACUCUUUAGGAUUACAUUUACGAGUACGACCUGUCUUUUCUAUAGAAGUUUGAUGCUCCUCCAGCUUGUCGCUCCCCUGUAUAUCAUCAGGCAAGGGCAGGUUCCUGGCAAUCCCCAAGUCAAAGCAUUUGGAAAACGUUGGCACAACUCUACCAGAUCCUCCCAAGUUUCCUAACCUGAAACAUCUCCGGACCAUAGAACAAGAACCUGAGUAACAAGAGAUUUACCCUUCAGAACUUGACGAGUGCCAUGAAUAUCCACUGGAUCUUGAGAUGACCCAAUGCAGUAAGCUGGGGUUGACAGCUUUAGUGAAACCCUCUACAGAAUUGAGCUAAGAAACAUGAAAUACAGGGUGAAUACUGCUGUCAGGAGGUAGUUGAAGACAAUAGACGACUUUGCCAACUUUAUCUAAUAUCUAAAAAGGGCCAAAAUAUAUGAAAGAGAGUUUGUGAUUUGUCCUCCUAGAUACUAAAGACUGCACAUAUGGUUGCAACUUUAAAUAGACCAAAUCAACAAUACGAAAUUCUCUGAAACUGUCGUUUUUAUCUGCAUAACUCUUCAUUUGUCGCUGAGCUCUGUUCAAGUGCAGUUUCAACAGCUGAACCAUAGAUACUCUCUCCUUCAACCUAACAUCCAAAUCAGGAACAGAGCAAGAAUCAUCCCUAAUUUCAAAGUGGCCGGGAGGGUAACCAUAUAACACCUCAAAAGGGGACUACAAGAUGGUAGAAUGGUAAGAAGUAUUAAACCAGAAUUCAGCCAAAUAGAGCCAAGAAUUCCACUUAGUAGGGAUGGUAUGAACAAAGCAACGCAAAUAAAUUUCUAGACAUCGAUUAACACGCUCUGUUUGUCCAUCAAUCUGAGGGUGAGAAGCGGUGCACAAAUGUAAUUGUGUACUCCCUCCGUCCCAGAAUAUAGCAACCUAGGACCGGAUUGGACAUAUCCUAGUACUAUGAAUCUAGACAGGAGGCAUGUCCAGAUUCGUAGUACUAGGAUACGUCCCAUCCGGUCUUAGGUUGCUAUAUUCUGGGACGGAGGGAGUACCUGAUAUGGCAAAAAGCUGCUCCUAGAAAUGGCUGGUGAAAAUUUUUUCUCUAUCGGAUAUGAUUGACUGAGGAAGACCAUGAAGCUUGUACACAUUACUCAUGAAGGUAUUAGCAACAUCAAGGGCAGAAGAUGGAUGGGAUAAAGGCAUGAAUUGAGGAUAUUUGGAGAAUUUAUCCACUACCAACAUAAUACAAUCAAAAUGACCAGACUUGGGUAACCCCUCAAUAAAAUCCAUUGUGAUAACCUGCCGGCCCCAUCUGGCAUAGGCAGUGGCUGAAGCAACCCUGGGUAUUUGCUUCUGUCAAGUUAACCUGUAAACAGACCCCAUAUUCUUUCACCACAGACUGAAUCAUAGACUUCAUUUUGGGCCAAGCAAACAAAGAUUUGAUCCUUCUAUCGGUGAUAGGAAAACCUGAGUGACCACCCAUAGGACUGUCAUGCAAAGCAGAUAUUAUCUUGAGCUAGAAAGCACAAUUAUUACCCAACCAUAUUCUCCCCUUAUACUUGAGAAUGCCACUACGAAGAGAGAAUGGAGGUCUGGAUUCAGGGGAAAAGGAUAGCUGUGUCAACAAAUUCUUAGAAUGCUCAUCCUGAUAAUAUCCUUCAGAAACAUCCUGGAGCCAAACAGGGACUUAGCUAGAAACCACUUGCAACUUUUUGGCGGUAUGGCAUGAGGCCCUUCGACCAAACCUGCCGAAACCACGCGACCAGUGGGGAUUCAAGCCCGAGGCAUCAAGGUUAGUCAGGGCGAAGCCCCCCCAUGGCGAAGGCUAUGAAACAAAGACGGCGAGAGGCGGGGAAUCGCGCGGGUACCUUGCCGGGCUAGGGCCUCUUGGGCGAAGGAUGUAGGGCGAAGAGUAUAUGCCGAAGGGAGACGACUUCGCCAUAGCAAGUUCGCCCACGCGAGGACCGAAGAAGCCAUUUCGGCCCUUCAAGCCUAGGGGCUAUUGGGCUGACGAUUGCCUGGCGGCCCAUCAAGGGCCCAUGAACCUCAAUUACAUUAUGUACCCAUGUAAAUUCCCCUGUAUAACCAAAACCCUAGUAGUAAGAACCUGUAAUGGGGGCUAUAAAUAGUCCCAUAGGGCCUUGUAAUAGGGGGAUCCCAAGAAAAAUUCUCAAUUUAAUACACUUUACUUAUUUUCCAACUACUGUUGAGUGACCACGUCUUUCGACGUAAGCUGUUGUCGAAACUGGCGCCGACCGUGGGGACCUCCGAGCGAAAACACUGAGAGCGAAUGCCACCGAAGAGGGUAGUGAAGGAGAAGGUUACAAGGUGAAAGGAAAGCGAAGCCGGGGUGGAGAUGGCCGCCGAAGAGGGAGCAGAGCCUUCGGCGCGCGUCGCCGAAGAUGGAGGAGCGUCGUCUGCCUCCGCACCUGCGCCAUCACUACCGCCUUCGGCUCCUGCCGCCUCUACGCAGGUGCCGAACACGGCUGACUUGGCGAAGGCAGCCAUGGCGGCAAGGGUACUCCAGACCCGGGCAGCAAGCCAACUGCUAGUGCCUCAAGCCGCUCCGUCGCAGCCGGCAGCGGCCUCGACUGCUCUCGCCGCUAUACAAGUCAACGCUGACCCCGAAAUACAAACCGAAGUCGACAUGGAAGCCAUGCGACAGAACAUGACACGACUCUAAGACAUGCUUCACCAGAUGCAAGAACAGCAGCAGGCGUACGAGGCGGCGAGGCGGUCCAAGGUCGCUUCGGCCCCAAUCCUCCAGUAUUCGGUAGGCUACGUCCCACCCCAAGUCUAUCCACAAGCACCAAUCCAGCCCCUUCCGCCACAAGUUACGCGAGCGCCAGUAUACUUCGUCGGGCAGCCCUCGACCGCAGCGGUGCAUCCAGCCCCUCACGUGCAACUACUAGCUCAGCCGAUCGCUGCCCAAGUACACCCUCAACCGCCUGGCCAAGUGUCACAAACAAUGGCAGAAGGGGCUUCCGCUCUGCAGGCGCAGCUCCAAGCUUUCCUUCAGCAAGUCAGCCAACCUCACAGCAUUUUAGGUACAACCCCUUCGGCCCACCCAGAGGAGAAUACAAGUCAAGUUGCACCUAGUUGGUUGCCGUCGAAUCAGACAGGUCUGGGGGCUUCGCCUUGGAGUCAAGGACCACAGUUCGACUUCAUCAAUGCUGCUCAGGCACCAACCGUUCGGCCGCAAGCACCAACGCCAGGCUUCGGAGCAAACCAAGCACCAAACCAGGUCGCCAUGGCAUGGUCCCAGCCAACGUUCGACCCAUCCAUGGUGGCUCAGCAAGCAUCACCAAUCGGAGCUGGGCAGCCGAAUGCCAUGGCCCAACCUUAUGCGAAAGCCGUGAUUUCGCCCUUCACUACGCCGUACCCGCAGCAAGGUGCCGUGAACAGGGCAGGGGGCGAAAAGGGGCUACCGCUGAGUGGGGGAAUCAAGACCCGUCCAAUCCCACCCCAGUUCAAGUUCCCACCCGUCCCACGCUACUCAGGCGAAAUUGACCCAAAGGAAUUCCUCUCCAUUUACGAGUCCGCGAUCGAAGCGGCUCACGAUGACGAAAAUACCAAGGCAAAGGUAAUACAUCUCGAUCUAGACGGCAUCGCCCGUUCUUGGUAUUUUAAUUUGCCAGCCAAUAGCAUUUACUCAUGGGAGCAAUUGCACGAUGUCUUUGUCCUUAACUUCUGAGGCACCUAUGAGGAGCCGAAGACGCAGCAGCAUCUACUCAGCAUUCGCUAGAGGCCGGGGGAGUCGAUAAGGGAGUACAUGCAUCGCUUCUCGCAAGCCCGGUGCCAAGUGCAAGACAUAACCGAGGCGUCUGUCAUAAACGCCGCUUCGGCCGGGGUACUCAAGGGCGAACUCACAAGAAAAUUCGCCAACAAGGAGCCACAGACCCUUGAGCACCUACUUCGCAUCAUUGACGGGUACGCAAGGGGCGAAGAGGAUUCCAAGCGACGACAAGCAAUACAAGCUGAGUGUGAUAAGGCUUCCUUCGCCGCUGCCCAAGCCUAAGCACAAGCUCAGGUUGCCGAACCACCUCCCCUCGCUGUUCGCCAGCCUCAGAUGGCGAUCCAGGGACAACCGCCAAGGCAAGGCCAAGCCCCCAUGACCUGGAGGAAGUUCAGAACCGACCGCGCGGGCAAGGCUGUGAUGGAUGUCGAAGAAGUAAAAGCCCUUCGCAAGGAGUUCGACACCCAGCAAGCAGGCAACCAUCAGUAGCCUGUCCGAAAGAAGUUCCGAAAAGACCUCUACUGCGCCUCAUGGACGCUCUUCGCACACCACGGAGCAAUGCCAAAACAUUUGGCAACGUGGCAACGCGCAAGAUCCAAAGCCGCAGCAUGGAGUAGCUGUCGAAGCACCUCGUGAAGCAGCUCAAGAACAAGCACCCCCGGCCGAACAGCACCAAGAUGCGCAUCGCAGAGUAAUCCAAGUGAUUACAAGGGCCGACCCGCCGAUCCAACUAUCGAAGCGAUAAAAGAAGAUGCGGCUCCGAACGGUCCACAAUAUCACUUCGGUGGGCGAAGGGGCCCCGCAGUAUCUGAACCAGCAAAUCUCUUUUGGGCCGGGAGAUGCCGAAGGAGUAAUGUUCCCGCAUCAAGAUUCUCUGGUGAUCUCAGCCGAGAUAGCUGGCUUGGAGGUCCAGCGAAUCCUGGUCGACGGAGGCAGUUCGGCCGAUGUCAUCUUCGCCGAAGCAUAUGCCAAGAUGGGGUUGUCCACUCUAGCCCUUACCCUAGCACCAGCCUCGCUCCGUGGUUUCGACAGAGAAGCAGUUCAAGUUCUUGGCCUAACACAGUUGCUGGUAGCUUUCGGCACAGGGGAAAACAGACGCGAAGAGCAAGUAUUAUUCGACGUUGUGGACAUCCCGUACAACUACAACGCCAUCUUCGGCCAUGCGACCUUGAACAAGUUCGAAGCUAUCUCCCACCACAAUUAUCCGAAGCUCAAGACGCUCGGCCCGGCGGGAGUGAUCGUAGUCAAGGGGCUUCAGUCUUCGGCCUCUUCGAAAGGCGAUCUGGCCAUAAUCAACAGAGCAGUGCAUAAUGUUGAGGCCGAACCACAUGACCGGGCGAAGCACGCGCCAAAGCCUGCCCCUCACGGCAAGAUAAUCAAGAUGCAGAUUGAUGACGCCAACCCCACAAAGCUCGUAUCGCUAGGGGGCGACAUGGGCGAAGAAGAGGCUGCGAACAUCCUAGAGGUACUCAAGAAAAACAGUGAUAUCUUUGCCUAGGGCCCUGAUGAGGUGGGAGGUGUUUCGACAGAUCUCAUCAUGCAUCACCUGGCAGUCAAGCCGGAUGCCAAGCCAAGGAAACAGAAGCUGCGCAAGAUGUCCGCUGAUCGCCAAGAAGCAGCAAAAGCCGAAGUCCAAAAAUUGCUCAAGGCUGGGGUCAUCCAAGAGAUCGACCAUCCUGAGUGGCUGGCGAAUCCAGUGCUGGUGCGGAAAUCAAACGGCAAAUGGCGCAUGUGUGUCGAUUUCACAGACCUGAACAAGGCAUGUCCGAAGGACGAUUUUCCUUUGCCACGGAUCGACCAACUCGUGGAUUCAACAGCUGGCUGCGAACUCAUGAGUUUUUUGGAUGCAUAUUCCGGCUAUCACCAGAUCCACAUGAACCCGGCCGACAUCCCCAAGAUAGCCUUCAUCACACCGUUCGGCACCUUUUGUCAUCUCAGGAUGCCUUUCGGCCUGAGGAAUGCCGGGGCAACCUUCGCCAGGCUGGUAUACAAGGUCCUUUACAAGCAGUUAGGGUGAAAUGUGGAAGCUUAUGUCGACGAUAUCGUCGUAAAAAGCUGCAAGGCUUUCGACCACGCGUCCGACCUGCAGGAGACCUUCGACAACUUGCGCGCAGCGGGUAUGAAACUGAAUCCUGAGAAGUGUGUUUUUGGCAUUCGCGCAGGCAAGUUGUUGGAUUUCCUUUUUUCUGAAAGAGGCAUCGAGGCGAAUCCCGAGAAAAUAGAUGUCAUUCAGCAAAUGAAGCCCCCGUCGAGCGUACGUGAAGUACAAAAGCUCGCAGGCCGAAUUGCGGCACUCAGUCGAUUCCUCUCAAAGGCAGCCGAAAGAGGUUUGCCCUUCUUCAAGGCCCUCCGGGGCGCGGAAAAAUUCAAUUGGACACCCAAAUGCCAAGCAGCGUUCGACGAGCUGAAUCAAUAUUUGCAAAGCCCGCCAGCUCUGAUCAGUCCAGCACCAGGAAGCGAACUGCUACUAUACCUGGCAGCUUCGCUAGUGGCAGUCAGUGCUGCCCUCGUCCAAGAAACAGAGUCAGGCCAGAAACCGGUCUAUUUCGUCUCCGAAGUAUUGCAAGGAGUGAAGACAAGAUACAUUGAAAUGGAAAAGCUCGCGUACGCCCCUGGUGAUGGCUUCGCGCAAGCUUAAACACGACUUCCAAGCCCACAAAGUCAUAGUGCCAACGUAGUACCCUUUGGGCGAAAUACUUCGAGGCAAGGAAGUUACUGGCCGGCUUAUCAAGUGGGCGGCAGAGCUAUCCCCUUUCGACUUGCAUUUUGUUGCCCGCACUGCUGUUAAGUCUCAAGUGCUAGCUGACUUCGUGGCCGAAUGGACACCGGCAUUCGCCCCCGAGCCCGAACCCGUCGAACAGCGCUGGGUGAUGUACUCCGACGGUUCGUGGUCGCACAAGGGGGCGGGCAUUGCGGCAGUACUCACCUCGCCAAGUGGUGUGCCGAUUCGAUAUGCCGCAAGGCUGCAGUUCGACACAACCAAUAACGCGGCAGAAUACAAAGCCAUUCUUCUAGGCCUAAAAAAGGCGAAAGCAUUAGGGAUUCGGCGCUUGCUAAUCUGAACCGACUCCAAGCUGGUGGAUUCGGCGCUUGCUAAUCUGAACCGACUCCAAGCUGGUGGCAGGCCAUGUCGACAAAUCCUUUGAGGCAAAAGAAGAUGGAAUGAAAAGGUAUUUAGAGGCCGUUCGGUUUAUGGAAAAGUAUUUCACCGGCAUAACAGUCGAACAUUUACCUAGAGGCCAGAACGAGGAAGCAGACGCCUUGGCAAAAUCUGCUGCUUAUGGUGGCCCACAUUCGCCUGGCAUCUUUUUUGAAGUCCUAUACGCACCAAGUGUGCCCAUGGACAGCCUGGAGGUCAUGGCAAUCGACCAGGCGAAUCUGGGCGAAGAUCCAUGCGAUUGGCGAACUCCGUUCGUGAAAUACCUUGAAACUGGCUGGCUACCAAAAGAUGAAGCAGAAGCAAAACGCCUGCAACUCAGAGCCGCAAGGUAUAAGAUGGUCUCGGGCCAGCUAUAUCGCUCCGAGGUACUUCAACCCUUGCUUCGCUGCAUCUCUUUUGCCGAAGGCGAGGAAAUGGCGAGGGAGAUACACCAGGGGCUCUGUGGCGCGCAUCAGGCCACAAGAAUAGUUGCCUCCAAAGUGUUUCGACAAGGAGUGUACUGGCCCACCGUGUUGAAAGUCUGUGUUGAGCAAGUCAAGAAGUGCGAAAGCUACCAACGCCAUGGCCGAAGUCAAACCGUGCCCCAGUAUAAGUUGCGGCCCAUCUCACCCAUCUGGCCCUUCGCCAGAUGGGGAUUGGACAUCAUUGGGCCGUUCCCGGUGGCGCGAAAUGGGUACAAGUUCACAAUCGUGGCCGUCGAAUACUUCUCCCGAUGGGUUGAGGCCGAACCCCUUGGAGCAAUCACUUCGGCAACAAUACAGAAAUUUGUAUGGAAAAACAUUAUUUGCCGUUUCGGAGUGCCAAAAGAGUUCAUCACUGACAACGGCAAGCAGUUUGACUCUGACAAGUUCAGAGAAAUGUGCGAAGGGCGUAACCUGGAAAUCAGGUUCACGUCGGACGCGCACCCGCAGUCAAAUGGGGCAGCCGAACGCAUAAACGGUAAGAUCCUAGAAGCACUAAAGAAAAGGCUUGAGGGGGCGGCGAAGGGCAAAUGGCCAGAGGAAAUGCUAUCUGUUCUCUGGGCUCUCCGGACGACCCCCACAAGACCAACCAAGUUCAGCCCGUUCAUGCUCCUUUAUGGCGAUGAGGCAAUGACCCCGACAGAGCUAGAGGCUAAUUCACCAAGAGUGAUGUUCUCUGGGGGCGAAGAGGGGCGCAAGGUGUCGCUCGAACUCUUGGAGGGGGUAAGAGUGGAAGCACUCGAACACAUGCGCAAGUAUGCCACAGGCACUUCGGCAACUUACAAUAAAAAAGUUCGACCGACGGAGCUAUUGCCUGGUCAUCUUGUCCUAACGAAGAAGGCGAACCCGAUAGCCAUUGGCAAGCUUGAAUCGAAGUGGGAAGGACCGUACCUCAUCAAGCACAAGUCCAGGACGGGAUCCUUUCGACUGGUGACACUGGAAGGCGAAGAGUUCGACCAUUCCUGGAACGCUGCCUCUCUCAAGCGUUUCUAUGUGUAGAACGGGUGGCACCCAAAUCGCCAACUUGAAAAAAUGUAUAUAUCGUUAUGUAAGCCCUUCGGCACUAUGUAAGCCUUUCGGCAAAGAAAAAAAAGAGAAAAAAAGAGGAAAAUGAAAAAAGACAAAAAACUGGAUGUAGUGUUAUUAUCCACCAUGGAGGCCUUCUUUUUAUUUAUUUGUGUGAUUGAUAAUUUGUGGAAAAACCCCAAGGCAAACGCCUGAUCAGCGAAAAAGGCCAGGGGGGCGAAACGAAUCGGCCGAAGCAUCGCUAGCUGAACGUUGAAACCGCAACAACUUGUUUCGGGAAACAACUAACCGAACACCGUUACACUCAAUCAAAAGGAAAGCACGAGUGCUUCUUGCAACGUAGAACAAAACGGAUCGAAAACGGAAGCCGAAAGCUGAAAAGUCAAAACCUAUUUCGCUAAUAUACGCAAAGGGGCCGACACGUUCCGACCCAACGAAAGCACGCGAAGUGACAAUGCAAAAAUAGCGAAAAGGAAAUAAAACGCAUUUUUAUUGAUUUUAAAGAAAAAUGUAUCGAAGAAUACAAACCCAUCAACAUGGUACAAAUAAAAGAAAGGAGCAAUGGCUUUACAGCCCAGCUUACAGAUAAAUUACAUCUUUGCCCCCACUAGGUUCGUCAUCACUACUAAUAUCAUACACGACCCUAAGAGGGGAAGGGAGCGAAACACAAACUACACUGUAGCGACGCCGGGAGAUUGCCUCCUCCCGAUCAGUCUUCUGAUGAUUUCGCCAAAAGCGAGCCAUAUCCUCCAAACGUCUUGUAUGAACAAGAUCGCAGUCUUCUAAGGUUCGCCCGGGGUGCGCCCGCAGCUAGCCGGCAACCUUAAAAACCUUGUAGCUGCGGCCGUUUAUCACCAUUUCGCGAUAAACAGGCCGAACUGGGCAUCGCACCUUCGGCAAACCCUUCAACGCCACAAAUUUCUAGUUUUUGCUUUGCCAACUCCCAGAAGGGGGCCGAAUGCACAAUUUUCGGUGAACACCCUGGUAGACAGUGCAGAAAGGGCAAAAGACGAAUUGCAUAGUAAGAACGGGUAAAAAAAGGGCAAAUAUUACAUAAUGCGAAAGUGGCGUAAUCAUAUACGCCACAGGCGUCGACCAUAAAAGGUGGCUAAGAUUGAGUCAUAUAUUCCAAAUAUCCAAGGGGCCUUUUUCGGGUACAGUAAGGAGGGUUAGGAACAGCUCACCGAAUUUACAUCGUUCGCCUCUACCGGCAAACACAAAAAGAAGAAGGAAAACUACGAAAAUCUAAGGAAAGGGCGGAGGGCCUCACACCUCUGGGUGAUCCUGGGCAUCGCCUCCACCCCCUUCGGCCGCCGCGUCCUCUUCUUUGCACCGGUCUGCCGCCUCAGCCUUCACCAGUUGCUCUAGAAGACACGCCUUGGCGGUGGAUCGGCCGUCCUUCUGCCAGAACUACUUUCGCCACGCACGGAGCGCGGGCGAAACGUUCUGCGCACUAACCUCCCAGUCCCCCUUCGUAUAGUUAGGGAACUCGGCGACGUGCUCACAGCCGAACUGUUGCAGAAGGCCCAUAAUGAAGGCCGCCGAUACGCGCGCACAACAAUCGCUGUACACAGUGGCGCAGUCCGAAACCGCACCACCAACCUGCUGGGUCCACUCGGAGUAGUCGAAGGCUGAGGCAUCUUCGGCAGGGACUUCUCGCACCCUUGCACCCAUGUCAGUAAGGGCAAGGCUGGCACGCCGUUUUUGUGGAUUCGGUGGCUUUCGCCAUCUCCCGCAAAAGCCGCUGUGACUCCUCCACAGCGCUCGCCUUGGCCUUACUGCCCUCUAGACGAAGAGCUUCCAUCUUCGGCUCAGUGAGGUUGUAAUAGUCGGUCAGCACGGUGGCAUGGGCUUUUUCUUUCUCCAGUUUGGCGUUGAGGCGAUCGACUUCGGCCCUAGCCUCUUUUCCUUUCUCCAAUUCGGUUUGGAGCCGCUUGUUUUCGGCCUUUGCCUCUUUGAGGGUGUUGGCGAGGGCCUCCAUCUCCAAGCUCUUGUAGCCUAUUUCGUCAUCCUUGGCCCGAAGACGGUGGGCCGCAAGAACCUGGAUCCAAGACAGGAGCGGCCAAAGAGAAUAAAUAUUAAUUAUGGGACAUGAAAAAAAGGAGGAAAAGCGAAAAGAGAGCGAAAAGGCACCCUUCAUCGAACUCGUUCAACACGGUGAAUAAGCUCGGGGUGCUGGCAGGUAAGACAAGAUUGCUUACUCCCUUGACGAAGGGAACAAGAUCCGCCCGGGUCUCGAAAUCGCCAGGGGCGAAGUGGGGCGCCGCGAGGGAGUACUUCGAGGCAGAUGUUUCGACGGCAGCCCCCUUCCCCUUCGCAUUGACUAGCGGCGAAACAACCGGCUGACGCAGGGGGCUUCCGAAAACCCUCGCCGCAGCCAUCACGAUCCGAUCGGCGGAGGCCAAAGCCCCGGCUGCGGCGCUACCACCUACUCCACCAGCGUCGAGCGAAAGAAUGGGAGCGGUCGAAAGGUCCAAGCUGUGGCCAGCGGGUGAAGUCAAAGUCUCGUCAGAAGACUCGUCGUUGCUGAAAACGCGAGCAACAUCAACGAGUCCUUUCUUUUUGGAGAUCUUUUUAACCGGACCUCCAUUCGCUGUCUUGCCUACUGAAAACGCCACUAGCGCCUUCGCCCCCUCCAAAUCCUUUCGAUGAAGGGGGGAGCUGUUCGACUCCACCCCGGUCUCGUUGUGACCUGGACUUGGUGUAGGGGUGUAGCCAGGGGUGUCGACGCAGUUUUCAACUACCUCGUCCGCGGCCUUUUCGACCACGGCCUCGGCCUUCUCUUCCUCUUCCCCUUCCUCAUUGCCAUCACGCUCUUUGACGUCGUCCUCGUCGUCGGCGUCGGAAUCGGAGGUAGCAGGAACCCUUCGCUUCCUAGGGGCAAGCUUCACUUGCCCGCGCGUCCGCUUUCGUGAAGGCCCUACGUCGUCGUCGACCUUGUGGGGGUUCGCCCAGGGAGGCAAUUUGCCGUUAUAAACCCGGUUCGCCCGGCCGACCGCAUAUCGUGUCAGCAGUUGGCUAUACUCGACGACUGACACGUCGUCGAUCAUCUUCCGGGCUUCGGCAUUGGCCUGAUUGAGGGUCAACACUGCAAAAAAUAGAGGGUGCAGCCACAUUAAGCGUCGAACGAAGCAAAAUAACGAAGCGCAGGCAUGCAUAGCGAAAGUGCAGUCUUACCAUUCGUCCCCUCAGGGACAACCAAUUUCGGCAGACCAUCAACCUCUUCGCCUUGGUCAACCGUGACUUGCCAUGACUAGGAGAGGGGAAAAUGCGGAAGCAUGCAGAACUCCUCCACCAAGUCACGACAGCUAAGGCGGGAGCAAACCUUACACAGCAGAGCGAACCGCGCCUCCAUAGCGCCGUCCACGGCGAUCUUGGGUUUCCGGUUCGGCGCGAUCGCCCUGCGCCGGCACCGGAGGGCCUUCGCUGACUCGGAACCAGCUUCAAAGGGGAUGGUGUGGUAAAACCACCUCGCCAUUGUCACGCCCAGAAAUUCCCGAAUAGAAUUCCAAGCAGAAUGUGCAUUAAAAUCCCCAUCCAGGACCAGCCGGGGUACACAAACGACAAUAUCAACAUUCAGAUCUACGUCUUACAAACAUCACAAAAGUCUUACAUAAAUGCAGCGGAAAGAAAGAAAGACAACAGGAGCUAAGCCUUGACUAGAACUACAGCGGGAACACCACUCCACAGGCAUCCUCGACGGCACGGACGAAGCCUACUCCUCAGAGAAACCUCCAUCUGACACAAACUCGUACUCUGGGGUUGGGAAAAAUAGAGCAAGACUGAGUACUACCCACUGUACUCAGCAAGUCAUACCGGAAUAGGGGUAUGAUGCAGGGAAUUAUCAAAGAAGAGCUAGAGUGGUUCAUUUGCAUAAAGCGAGCAUUUAUAAACAGAAGUUGAAAGAUUUAAACAAUUGUAAUAAUUAAUUAAUAUUAACUAUCCACAGUCCAACGCUAUCCCAUGUUGCAACAGGCCCGACCAACCACCUAAACUAUCCAAAUUCAAAAGAUUACACUAGGGUGAGACUAAUCACGGUGAAUCUGGUUGACCGCCCAUAACCGCGGGCUCGGCUAUUCGAACAGUUUUACUCUGAUCAGAGGUGUACAACUGUACCCACAAGACACAGCCCCACGACACGUUUCCGUGCGCCGACAUGCCACCACGACAUACCGGAAAGAGGCCGUGACAGGACCCUUCGCAUAACCCCCUCUAACCAAGCACACCACACCUCAGGUUUCACCCCCACUCCUCGCAAGGCAGCGGGCAGUCCCCUCUCGUGCCUAGGUGAAUCCGGAAGCCGCAUAGGCCGUCGCAGGGCCCAUCCAAACUCCAUCACGCCCACCCUCGCCUGGAUGCGUCGGCUAGAGAAAAGCUACACUACAAGCCCAGCCGUUGCCCACGCUGGCUUGUGGUAAGUAUGAUAAGUUCUUCCAGGGCAUCCCGCGAACCGGUCCUUAACUGCCAUGGGUGCGACCAACAAAACCAUGCACCCACAGCCCACCAUGUGAUUUAUUUUAAUUAACCAACACCGAAGCGGUGUCACUACUCCAACAUUACCAUUAGAACCUACAGUCUAAACAUUAAUAGGAUUUUCCCCAUUGUGUACUAGUUGAACUAAGCAUGGCUAAGCAAUUCCUAGUCCAAAGCCUAUUCAUGUUAUAACCCAAGCUAACAAAGGAGCAUGGUAUCAAAAUAGCAUGGCUGUAACAGUAGGUAAACAUCCCAUACUAACAUUAUAAAACAAUGCAGUAUUUGAAGAAAAACAAUAGAGCAUUUGCAAUAUAGGAUCAACAUGUUCAAGUGACAGGCAUGACUUGCCUUGCUCUGCUGCUGGAGGAACCUCGGCGACUAUUUCGAAGUACACCGGAGCGUCGGAGGAACCGGAAUCUAGCGACAUACAAGGCAAACAUUGCAAACAGGCUAUAAGACUACUGAAACAGGGAACAAAACCAUUUUUAAUGGAUUCUACACAUUUUUCUUGAUUUACUGAGACUUGAAUGGGCUUAAACGGAGCUCGGAUGAAUUAGUUAUGAAUUUUAGAAGAUUCACUGUGUUUAUUACUAUAAAAGAAAAACCUUAAAUCAUUUAUUGCGCAAUAAAUCCCAGGGCUGACGUCAUCAAGGGGGCACGGCGCCGACAUGCGGGGCCCACCGGUCAGCGGCUCGGGAGAGGGGGGAAAAGGGCGCCGGCACGCGAGGCCCACCGGUCAGCGACUCAAGGGGGAGGGCGGUUCACCGCGGACCGGGACCACGCGGGUGGUCCACCGCCGGUCCACGGGACCGACGGCCCAGAUCGCCCUCGGGGUCGAUCGGACGGGCGACGACGACCCGGCUCGGCUUGGCUCAAGGCCGGCCUACCGGCCGUGGCGAUGACGACGGCGCGCGCGCGAACGCGUUGCCGGCGACGGCAUCCGGCGGCGGAGGCGACGGCGCAAAGGCGACGCGAAGGCGGCGGCACUAAGCGGCGGCUAGGAAGGAGAGGGAGGGGAAUGGAUGGGAGAGGAAACCUCACCGAGGAUGGCCGGCGCGGAGGAAAACGACGGCGAACGGCGACGGCAAGCCAUGGGAGGACGACGGCAACCGGCGGACGGGUUACGGGGUGCCCUAAGGAAGGAAGAGAGAGAGAUUAGAGAGAGGGAGAUGAACCACGGCGACCGGCAUUCAUGGCCGAAUGCGGCGGUAGGGGUUGAACUCACCGGAGCGCGAGGGGAUGCGAAUUCCGGCGACGAAACUCGACGGGGAAGGGGCGGCCGGGGUGGAGCUUAGCCUUGCGAACCCGACAGCGGCGACGGCGUGGCGCGGCGGUGACCCUAGCGGCGGCUAGCGGCGGCCGGAGUAGCGGAAACAGCGGCGGCGGGUGGAUGCACGGUGCGGGAGUGAUGGAGAGCUCGGGAGAGUUCGGCGAAAUGGGGAAAAAGCGAGAGGGGGCGACGGGGAAGCCUAAAUAGGGGAGGGGAGCCCCGGACGUGGCCGGUAGGGGCGGGAUUUCGCCGGCCAACGUGGGGAGUGGGGGAGGAGAGAGAGGUGGGAUUCGAAAAUCGAAUCCCGGCCAUCUCGGGCCCGGGCGCGGGCGGGAGGGAGAGGGGAGUGGGCGCGGGAGAUGCGGCGCACGCGCGGGCGUGGCCGACAUGGCCCGGAGGAGGCGGAGGCAUGGGCGCGGCGGCGGUUGCGGGCGCGGCGGCGCCGGCUGGAGGAAGGGGACGGGUCCGACAGGUGGGGCCCACCUGUCGGCGUCCCGAGGAGAGAGGGAGGGGCGGCUUGGGCCGGCCCACAAGGAGGACGGCGCGCGCGGCGGGGUGGACUGGGCCGAUGGCCCAAGAAGAGGAAAAGGAGGGGAAAGGAAAAAAAAGAAAAAGAAAAGGAAGAAAAGAAUUCCCUGGGAUUUAAAAUAUUGCAAGCUCGAUUUUAAAAGGUUAAAAUUAUUUCGAGAGCUCUGAAAAUUCCACUAAAAAUCCUGUUAGUGAAUUUCGACAUGUAGAACUCAAGAAAAAUUCCACAAGCCAAUUCCGAUUAUUAUUUGCAUUGAUUUAAUAGGGUUUACUCUUGCUUUGCACCGGUAUUUUCUUAGGGUCUCUUAUUAAUUCAAUUUUAGGCUUAGGAGGAGAACUUCAGGGUGUGACAAACCUACCCCCCUUAAACGGAAUCUCGGCCCCGAGAUUCGGAGGAGCUGGCGAAGAGGUGCGGAUGGGCGGCUUUCAACUCAUCUUCCCUUUCCCAGGUUGCUUCCUCUUCUGAAUGGUGACUCCACUGAACUCGGCAAAACCUGGUGACCUUGUUUCUGGUUCUUCUUUCGCUGGUAUCAAGUAUACGAACCGGCUUCUCCACAUAUGUUAGGUCCUCCUGGAUAUCAAUGUGUUCCGAAUCAGCCUGUUCUUCAGGUACCCUUAAGCACUUCUUUAAUUGGGACACGUGGAACACGUCAUGGAUGCCGAUCAUAUUGGAUGGAAGUUCUAACUGAUAAGCAACUUCUCCCCUUCGUUCCAGGAUUUUGUAGGGUCCCACGAAGCGUGGUGCCAACUUGCCUUUCGUCUGAAAACGGUGUACUCACCGGAGCGGAGUGACACGAAGAUACACGUAAUCCCCUGCCUCAAAAGUGAGCUCCCUUCGGCGGUUAUCCGCGUAGCUCUUCUGUCGAGACUGGGCAAUCCUCAACCUUUCCCUGAUGAUUCUGACUUUCUCUUCGGCUUCCGCUAAUACCUCUGUCCCGAACAGUUGACGCUCGUCUGUCUGAUCCCAAAAGAGAGGUGUGCGGCACUUCCGGCCAUAUAAAGCUUCAAACGGUGCCAUCUGUAGACUGGCCUGGUAGCUGUUGUUGUACGAGAAUUCUGCAUAUGGCAAGUUUUUGUCCUAAGUUCCACCAAAAUCAAGAGCGCAUGCUCUCAACAUAUCUUCCGAGAUUUGAUUGACUCGCUCGGUCUGACCAUCAAUUUGCGAGUGAUAGGCCGUGCUGAAAUUUAAACGAGUCCCCAAUUCUUCCUGCAGCUUCUGCCAGAAUUUUGAGGUGAACUGACUCCCUCGAUCAGAUACAAUCUUUUUGGGUACUCCAUGUAAACACAUGAUUCUCGAGAGGUAGAGCUCCGCCAACCUUUUGCCCGUAUACGUGGUAUGUACUGGUAUGAAGUGAGCAACCUUAGUGAGUCGAUCCACGACUACCCAGAUUGAAUCGUGACCCGAUGAUGUCCGGGGUAGUCCUGUUAUAAAGUCCAUUCCAAUCUCCUCCCAUUUCCAUUCCUGGAUUUGAAGAGGUUGGAGUAAACCUGCUGGUCUUUGGUGCUCUGCCUUCACUCGUUGACAAACAUCGCAGAGUACGACGAAUUCAGCUAUUUCUCUCCUCAUGCUGACCCACCAAAACUUUUCUUUGAGGUCUUGAUACAUUUUGGUGCUGCCUGGAUGAAUGGAGUACUGGGUCUGAUGAGCCUCGGUGAGUAUCAGAUCCUUCAGUUCCUUGUCGUCAGGUACACACAAUCUUUCUCCCAACCAGAUUGUGCCGUGUUCAUCUUCGUGGAAAUCCCGGGCUUUUCCGACUCUCAUGUUCUUUUUCAGCUCUGCUAUUUCAGAAUCAUUUACUUGAGCUGCUCUGACUUGAUCCACGAGCGUAGGCCGUGCCUCCAAAGCGGCUACGAACCCGUGUUCAACAAUUCCCACGUUGAGAUGCUCCAACUCCUGCCGCAAUUCCUCACACAUGCCCUCGAUGCAUAGAGCAGUGCAGUAACUUUUCCUGCUUAAUGCGUCUGCCACCACAUUGGCUUUACCCGGGUGGUAGUGAAUGCUCAUGUCAUAGUCUUUGAUUAGUUCCAACCAUCUUCGUUGUCGGAGAUUUAGGUCCGGUUGGGUGAAGAUGUAUUUCAGACUCUUAUGGUCCGUAUAUACUUCGCAGCGGUUGCCAAUCAGAUAGUGCCUCCAGAUCUUCAAAGCAUGAACCACUGCUGCCAAUUCCAGGUCAUGAGUUGGAUAAUUCCCUUCGUGUGGACGCAACUGCCGCGAGGCAUAUGCAACCACUCUGCCCUCUUGCAUUAGGACACAUCCAAGUCCGUGACGGGAUGCAUCGCAAUAGACUUGGAAGUCUUUCAUCUGGUCGGGCAGAAUCAAAACUGGUGCGGAUACUAAUUUCUUCUUGAGCUCCUCAAAACUCUUAUCGCACUCAGCUGUCCAUUUAAACUUCUCAUCUUUCUUAAGCAACUGAGUCAUGGGUCGGGCGAUCCUGGAGAAGUUUUCGAUGAAUCGGCGGUAAUAACCUGCAAGUCCAAGAAAACUUCGAAUCUGCGACACGGUCUUCGGUGGGGUCCAUUUGGUAACUGACUCUACGUUCGAUGGAUCAACUGCCACACCCUGAGCUGUAAUGACAUGGCCCAGAAAUUUGACUUCCGUCAACCAGAAGUCACACUUGCUGAACUUGGCGUAUAGCUGGUGCUCCUUCAACUUCUCGAGUACCAGACGGAGAUGUUGCUCAUGUUCUUCUUCGGACUUUGAAUAGAUAAGUAUGUCGUCGAUGAAUACCACAACAAACUUGUCCAGAAAUUCCAUGAACACUUUGUUCAUCAGAUUCAUGAAGAAUGCGGGUGCGUUGGUAAGUCCGAAAGACAUAACCGUGCACUCAUAUAGCCCGUACCGAGUGGUGAAGGCCGUCUUUGGAAUAUCCUCUUCCCGAAUUCUCAACUGGUGGUAGCCUGAUCGCAGGUCUAUCUUAGAAAACACUUUAGCUCCUUUCAGUUGAUCAAACAAAUCAUCGAUUCGCGGCAAAGGAUAUUUGUUCUUGAUUGUGACCUCGUUGAGUGCGCGGUAAUCAACGCACAUCCUCUUUGUCUUAUCCUUUUUCUCCACAAAAAUGACCGGAGCACCCCAAGGUGAAGUACUUAGUCGAAUGUACCCUUUCUGCAGCUGCUCAUCAACCUGCUUCUUGACCUCUGCUAGUUCGUUGGCCGCCAUUCUGUACGGUCUCUUGUAAAUUGGAGCGGUUCCCGGUGCCAAGUCAAUCCGGAAUUCAAUCUCUCUCUUGGGUGGCAUGGUAGUAAGGUCUUCGGGGAACACUUCUGGAUACUCGCAGACUAUGGGUAUAUCUUCCAAUUUCCUCAAAUUCUUCUCCACAGUGUCCACUGGGAUUUCCGCCUCAAUCUGAUUCAAAGAGACCCCUUGCUUUGGUGAGUCUGGUGAUUUGUACACUACUGUUUCUCCCUUCUCGUUGGUCAAGGUGACUGUCCGAUUCGCACAAUCGAUGACUCCCUUAAACUUGGUCAGCCAAUCCAUCCCAAGAAUGACAUCCAGGUCUUUGGAUUCGAGAAGAAUAAGGUUGGCUAGAAAUGGCGAUCUUUGGAUUUCUAUUAGCACUGAAGGGCUAAAACUGACUGAGGUUGAACUAUUUCCCGGGGUAUGAACCCUCAUUGGUGUGCUAAGCUCUUCUUUCCUUAACCCAUGCAUCCCGACAAACUUCUUUGAAAUGAACGAAUGCGUUGCACCAGAAUCAAAAAGUAUUGUUGCAGGGAUUGAGUUAACAGGAAACGUACCCAGUACGACCUCUGGUGCUGCUUGUGCCUCCUCCGCAGAUGCGUGGUUGACACGGGCCUGGAUAAACCUUGGCCCGGCACGCCUAGGCUUCGGGCAUUUGUCAGCGAAGUGGCCAAGCUCGCCACAGUUGAAGCAGGACCCUGGUUUUGCUCCAGUCUCCUUCUUGGCUUGCGCGGACGGGCCUGACUGUGCCGGUGCCAUUGGUGGGCGUGGAGCUGCACCGCGGUUGGGCUGACCUCCAUGGUGGUUCUGACUGCCACUGGCGCCCUGGGGAAAGUUGCUAGGGUUGAACGGGCGGUACUGGUGGACGAUCAUGGUGGUAGGUCCACCCUGCUGCCCGGGAGCGAAGCGCGGCCUCUGGUGACUUCCCUGAGGUGCCCUGAACUGAGCGGCCUACCUCUUCCUGUCCAUCUUGUUGCGUUGAUCCUCCUGACGGAUUGCCUUGUCCACCAGUCUUUCGAAAUCGGCGUAAUCUCCAGAUAUCAACUGGUUGGUUAGCUCAUCAUCCAGACCUGCUAGGAAUUUUUCCUGCUUCUCGGCGUCAGUACGGACAUCCUCCGGUGCAUAUCGCGCGAGGCGAUUGAACUCAUGGAGAUACUCCGUCACAGUCCUGUUGCCCUGAUGGAGUGCCCGGAAUUCCCUCUUCUUUUGUGCCACGACCCCGUCUGGCACCUGCGCCUUCUUGAAGCUACGGCAGAACUCUGCCCAAGUGACUUCAGUACCUGGUGGGCGGGUGGCCAUGUGAUUGUCCCACCAAGCUGACGCAGGACCUUGAAGCUGGUGUGUGGCGAAAGCAACCUUCUCCUGAUCAUUGCACUGCAGGAGAUUCAGCUUCUUCUCUAUGGCAUGGAGCCAGUCAUUCGCCUCCAUAGGGUUGGUGGUGCUGGAGAAGGUGGGUGGCCUGACAAGUAGAAACUCUGGCAACUUGGACUGAGGGGGAGGGGGACCAAACUGCUGGUGCUGCUGUUCGGCGUGCUGCAGCAUCCUCUGGUGCAUCUGCUGGUGCUGCUGCUGCAUCUGCUGCAUCAUGGCUGCCAUCAUCUGAGUCUGAUGUGCCAUCACUUGGGCUAGCGUCGGAUUCUCGGGAAGUGGUGGCGGACCAUUGCCGGAAUUGCUGUUGGGAUGCACACCCUCAGUGCGCUCUUCACCGUUGCUGCCCUCGCCUGUUGCGCGGCUACCAUUCCUGGUGUAGACCAUCUGGAGGAAAAGCAGACGGGGGAAAAGAAGAAAAAUAGAGGCUCAAGGACUAGGCUUUAUUAUAUAGGAAUUUAAACUGCAAUUGUUCUGAUCUGAAUUAAAACACUUAAAAAGCAAGCAAAAAUCCUUAUUAAGACAGCCAUAUCAUAGGCACAUGAUAUCGACCGUUGACUGACCCACAAGCAAGCAACCUAAACACACAAACUAACAAACAAAUGCUAGACAGUCGAUAAACUAAUGGAAAACGAGCCUAAUGCUCGGAACGGCUCCUGCGGUCGGUGGAGUCGAAGGCGUCCUCCUGCUCGUCACCAGGUCCCUCUGAGCGACUCCUGGAGCUUGGCAGAUAAGUCUCGCCGCUGCCCGGCUCUGAGCCACUGGAGCUACUGCUGCUGAGAUCGCGGCUGCCACUGGGAGUAGCAGACAACCAACCUCCGUUGCCACUGGCUGGACCCCUGGCGGCUGAUGCUGGAGCGAAGGAGAGAGCGGACGCGGGAGCUGACACGUGAACGGGAGCUGGAGCUGGUACUGGAGCUGCAGGAACUACCAGAGCUGCGGGCGGAACUGGAGGUGCUGCGGGAGCUGCUGAUGGAGGUGGGUUCCUGGGCGCAAGCUGGAUGCGCACGGGUGCAGUCGUCGUCUUGCGGGGCGUAGUGCGGAUCCGGACUCCUCCUAGAGCGGGAAGACCCUUUAACUGAGCAUUCUCCCUCUUCAGGCGCGCUAUCUCGUCCUUCAGAGCGACGAUCCUCAUGAGCUUCCCAUCAUUCAAGGCCUUGGACGCCUUGUGCAGGUCCGAGUGCAUCCUAUCCAAUCCCCUCAUCACAGCACACAUGUGACCAAAGGUGGUGUCGUUCUCGCCGGCUGUCGGACGGAAAGUACUGACAUCAGCACCGCUGGCUCGACGAGGGUGAAAUCGGUACGCCGUGUCGUGGAAGAUGUAGUUGUGGCGCUCCCGUAGUCUGGCCAUCAUCAGGUAUGCUGCCUCCUGACAGGCGAGAUCUGCUGUGCCUCCGGAUGCCUCAACCACCAUAUUAGCUAGGCAGGUACCCACGUAGCCGUGGACCUCCAGGCGAACACGGUGAGGAAGCUCGCCACUGAGCGGUGGAACAGUCGUGUACUCUGGCGCGUUGGGGUAGCCUACCACCAGCGUCAUAUGUGCCAACUCUGCCACAAAGUCAAUCAUGCCUUCUCCGCGGUGGUUGGGUGGGUGGCCGGCCAUCUAGAGAAAACAAAGGAGUAGGAUCAAUGCAUGCUCAAAUCCAAAUUUAAAUAAAGCAAUUAAAGACUCAAAUAAGAGAAUUGAAUAAGAGCGAAAUUUUAUGCAUAGAUCGUUUUGCAUGAGAGCGAAUAAAUAAGACAGACUCACAUAACGAUAAAAUAUUGGGGAAAUUAGAUACAUACUAAUAAUAACAGUAAGAGCAUAAAUACCUUGCAACCCAUGUUCCUGAGCUAGGACCUAAUGCAUUUCACCCAUCAAAUCCCAACUGACUGACGAAUAAAUCUCAAUAGUUUUACUAAAACCCUGGACUGACUUGUUUUGACAAAUCUCACUUAAACGAGCGACCAAGAUUUUUCCCCUUGAACCACAAGAACAGAUCCCAAUUUUCCCGGAACAAAUCCAAUUGCAAAGAACAUAUGCAAUGAAAAGGAUUUAGAGGGCUCUUAGGUUUUUCCAUUUGGCUUGUCCUACGGUCAAGGUCGGCUCUGAUACCAACUUGUCA